GUGGAAAUGAAAAAGUUAGGAGAGAACAUGGUUAAAGAUUGUGCAGGGCUUCCAUUAGCCAUUGUUGUAUUGGGAGGAAUUUUGGCUACAAAGAAUAAUUCAUUAAACGAAUGGCAAAAGAUAUCUGACAAUUUAAAAUCAUACUUGAAGAGAGGCAAAAAUCAAGGACCAGAGGAUGUGUUAGCAUUAAGUUAUGAUGAUUUGCCUCCCUAUCUAAGACCAUGUUUCCUCUAUCUAAGCCUUUUUCCGGAGGAUUAUAUGAUAGAUGUGGAUAGAUUGAUUCAAUUAUGGGUUGCUGAAGGUAUUGUGUCAUCAAAGCAAGAAGAAAGAGACGGUGGGGAAAUUGCGGAAGAUGUGGCGGAAUCUUAUUUAAUGGAGCUUGUGGAAAGGUGCAUGAUUCAAGUACGAGAAAGAGAUGUGGCAACCUUAAAGGUCAAAACAAUUCAGAUGCAUGAUCUGAUGAGAGAUCUUUGCUUAUCAAAGGCAAAACAAGAAAAUUUUGUCUUCAUUGUCGAUCAAUCAAAUGCAUCUUCAUUAUCUAUGAUUCGGAAGGUCCGUAGGGUUUCUGUGCAUGAGUUUUUUUUUCAUACAAUGCAUUAAAAGUCCAAAUAUUCGGUCACUUUUGUUCUUCAAUGAGUUCUUUCCGGAGGAGGAAUUAGACAAAUCUUUUCCCUUGGAAGUGUUGAAUUCACUGUAUUUGAUUCUUAUGAUUUCGCGAGCUGGUAUGGGACUCCUUAAAAUUCGGGGAAUUUAGAGAUACAUGUUCAACAACUUCCAAUUGCUAAGAGCCCUAAACUAUGAGAGAACAACAGGUGAUCGUUUUGCAGGGUUUAAGUUACCUAGUGAUAUAGGUAAUCUCAUCCAUUUAAGAUUCUUGAGUCUAAAGGAUCUUGAGUUCUUAUGGCCAAAGUUGCCAUCAUCUCUAGGAAACUUAAGGUGCUUGCAAACCUUGGAUUUAAGAGUUGAUCGUGACAAAAUUCAUGUACCUAAUGUGAUAUGGAGGAUGGAGCAACUAAGACAUUUAUAUCUCCCUUCGAGAUGUGAAAGCAGUACUAAGUUGAAGUUGGGUACUUUGAGAAAACUCCUAACACUUGUGAACUUCAACACCAAGAAUUGUUAUCUGAAGGAUCUUAUCAACAUGACAAAUCUUAGAGAGUUGGGGAUAAAUUUGCCCUUCAAUAUUGAAAAUUUCAAUGAGGAGUUGGGCGAGAAUCCACCCAUAAUCGGAAGUAAAUAUCUUCAUUCCUUGUCUAUUAUUACCUCUGGGUACGAAUCAAUAGAUCCAAGACAUUUGGCCCAUCUCCUUUCAAAUUGUACAAGUAUUUGCAAGUUGAGUAUAGCAGCAGAGAUAAGUAAGUUACCAGAGUAUCACUACUUCUCUUCACAUCUCACUUACNNNNNNNNNNNNNNNNNNNNNNNNNNNNNNNNNNNNNNNNNNNNNNNNNNNNNNNNNNNNNNNNNNNNNNNNNNNNNNNNNNNNNNNNNNNNNNNNNNNNNNNNNNNNNNNNNNNNNNNNNNNNNNNNNNNNNNNNNNNNNNNNNNNNNNNNNNNNNNNNNNNNNNNNNNNNNNNNNNNNNNNNNNNNNNNNNNNNNNNNNNNNCUCUUCAGCGAUUGGAUAUCAGGCAUUGCCCAAGCUUGAAGAUGCUUCCAGAGGGAUUGAGCUCCAUUACAACCCUCAAAGAACUGAAGAUUGAAUCAAUGCCAAAGGCAUUCAAAGAAAGAUUGGAGAAAGGAGGAGAAGAUUUCUACAAAGUCGAACAUGUUCCUUCUAUCAUAUUCCAAAACAUCUGGUAGAUUGACUGAUAAUUGAGAGGUAAUUUCAUAACCUCUAGUUUAGGAAAUGAUUCCUACUUUCUUUGCUUCUUAUAUAUCUUUCGUUUUUGACAUUGUCUCACAUUCUCACUCCAUUUGUCAACACACCAAUGAAUAAUUACAUUUAUUAAAAGUUAAAGGAAGUCGGACAUUGAUCUUUUUAGUUUUGCUUUUCAGGUAAAGACGCCAUUUUUUCACCAGCUACUGCUAUUCACGGGAUCAAAUCUAGAUUUAAAACUCCUAUUAUAAGUGGCGUGUGAAAGUGUGUUAUAUUGUGAGAUUUGGAAUUAUCUUCUCGCUUGUUGACAUCAGACUGGUUGAAUGUUUGUUAUUUUCUUCAAAUUACAAUAAAAAGGUUGCAAGAUAAGGUACGGGAAGAAAGGGAGGUGUCUGGAUUAGCAAGGUACCAAACCCACAUAGCUUUGGUUUACGAUCACCAUUCCUAUCUUUAUUUGUUAGCUUUGCUUUCUCUUUUUAUUUUUUUCUUUUUUUAUCUGUACUUAAUGUAAUAUUAGAAGAGAAGGCAGGACCAUGCUUUUCUAGUUCCAUUGUAAAAUUCAUCACUUCGUUGUCAAUGUUCAUUUCUACUCUUCAGUUUUACUUAAAUAUAAUUGUUUGAUAUAUAUAUAUAUUUAUAUAUAUAUAUAUAUUUGAAUAUGGAUACACGAUAAGAGAAUAUAAUAUUUUUAAUAUUUUCUGUCAUCCUUAACUCAAUAAUCUUUGUUAAGAUAUUAUACCAGGUUCAAUGGUUGCACUUCAUCCCACACUUUCAAAGCAAAAAAUAGGAAAAAUUAAAUAUUACCAACUAAUAACACUUCCAAAUUACAUUGUCUUACAAAAAAAAAAAAGAUACAAUUUGAAUUUUUUUAUCAACAUUUGAUGGUUUAGCAAGCUAUGCUUUAUAAAAGGCAAAGGAAUCUAAGGGAAAAAAAGAUUCCAAUUCAAGAUUUUGUAUCCCCAUGCUUUGCUUCUUAUAUCUACCAACAAUAUCUUGAUGAUAAUAAACUAAAAAAAAAAAAAAAUUCAAGGGAAUCAAAGAUUUCAAAUCCAACUUAAUCGAUUGAAAAUUUCACAUCCACUUAAUUAUUUCAAAUGAUAUUUAUUCAAUAAGUUUAAAUCAAAAACCACAAGAAUCCCCAUUUAUCUUUUAUUCAAAAUGUAAAUCGGAUUCAAUGAAAAUAUUGAACAUAUAAUGUGUGCACAUGGAAAUGUCCAAAUCUUUAAAUAUAGGGUCGACAUGGGAGAAAUCUCCUAAAGAUUUAUAAAAUUCAAUAUGAUCCUAUUAUUUUCGUUAUAAAACUCAAUAUCUUAUUCGGAUUAGGAUACGAGCGAAUAACAGAUAACUAUUUGUAGUUCAAGGUGUGAUAAAAUCUCAGUAGCUAAGAUAUGAAUGUUGCAAAAUACCAUACAAAAUCACAGCCACAUUUGUUAGUAUGACUAUUUUGGGUAAUCAAAGGAAAAAAAUGUUAGCUGUUGAGCAAACAAGGUGAACAGAUUAGAUAUUCCAAUUACGUUCAAGCACUUGACAAAUCCUUUCUGCAAUGGCUUCAGCACGCAUCCUAGGACCUUCAUCAGCUGCAAAAACCGACCAUUUCUAACAACUAAGCUAACAUCACACAUGAUAAUAUAUGUAUAUAACUUAUAUAGAAGAUGAUUAUGUGGAUUAAAAGCUAUGCUAGUUUGACUCAAUACAUGACCAUGGGACAUGCUCGAUUCAUCAAUAACGAUAUGAAAAUACUUGGAAGAAAAAUUAAAUACAUCAAUAUCUAACAUUUACAUCUGAGUUCGAGUAAAGAAAACAUGUCAUUCAAUCUAAACAUGCAAAAUAUCCAAAACUCUUGAUGAGUGUUAGAUAAAAAUAUGUAGAAUGUACCCAAAAUACCCAUCUCGAACUCAGUAGAGAAAUAUCUAGCACUCAAAAGACACUACCUUCAACCAAGAACAAGCAAGUUUCUUCAAAGGCUUGAUAUACUUUCUUCACAGCCAUAUAUAUGUUCAUAUACCCAUAUUAAGGAUGAUUGUUUUGGCAAAGAGGAUGAAAAGAUAGAAAGAAAACCUUUAAUCCAAUGACAAUAUUUGAUUAUAACAACAUGACACAUAUAAUUGUGAUUAAAAUUGCGGUCACAAAUACGUUUGCAAUCACAUCAUGUUAAUGAAUACUAUUGCAAUCAAUUGCAAUAAAUAUCCACAACAACACGAGCCACAAUCCUAAAACAACAAAGAUAAUACAUUACAGCUGUUAAGGAAUUUUCAAUAACGUAUAUACCUGCAAGAUUUUCAGUGAUGACACAAUAAAAUUCACCACCAGACAACUUCCCAAUCUAAUGAAAUUUUCAAACAUAUCAUGUCAUAAGUUUCAAGAUCAACUGAAACAUGCGGAUACCAAGUAUGAUAAGAAAUUAAAUUAAGGAUUUUCUACUGCAAACCUACCACGAAAACAUAAUUUUUAUUAGGAUCAAAGGCAUAGCCCAUCAUGGCAGCAUUAUUGAGUCCAUUUUCAGAGGAAAAUCCUGAAACAUGUUACAGGCAAAUAUUAAGAAAAACAACGCACAAGCAUAAGUAUAAAAAACCUAGCAUGUAAGAAAUCAAUACUUGAAAGGACUAAAAUCACUGCUAACCUAAGACAUUGAAUCUAGCACCACUAGGAAACAUCCGAAAUGAUACUUGUCUUUCAAUGUUGAGAUACAUAGGUCCAAGUCUGCCAUGUUGCGCCAAACGGGAAUUCAUCAACCUCUUGAGAACCUAAAGGAUGAAAAGUUCCAGUCCAAGUUAUAUAUAUACAGACACACACACAGAUAGACAUGAAGAAAGUGGGUUAAUGGUGUAUUAUUUAAGUAAAGAAAAAGUUGAAAUCUUGAACCUCUAAAUAUUGGGUAACAGCGAGUGUUAAAAGUGCAUAAAGUUCUGCUAUUAUCUACAAGAAACAAUGGAGGAAUCACAUACAUUGUUUAUAUUCACUUUUGUUGCUACACAAGCAAGCUGAGUCCAUAAACAAAGGCAUAUCUUUUUCUCCGUUUUUAAAUGGUUUUCUUGUUUUUCGGCUGCUUUUUAUAUUAAGAGACAGAGAUUGUGAGACCUCGUCAUUCUCAAGGAGAAAGUGGUCAAGCAUGAAGAUGAUGGGAAGACCACGAGUCGAUGGUGGUCGAUCCAUGAGUUGAUUAUGAAUAGUUUCAUGUUAUUAAAUAAAAAUGUUAGCUAAAGUUAGUCGAACGCUGUGUUUUAGGGCCGAGGGUUUAAUGAAACUAUAAGUUUUGAUGUUGAAUAAAAAUGGUGCGUAUUGACUGUUUGUUACAGCUGCUCGAGGAACAGCCCUAUAACAGACUUUGUAGCUGCCAAUUCUCAGCCAUAAUAGAAACUGGCAUGGGAAAUGAGCAGAUAUGCCAUUUUGUGAAGGAAAUCAAUUCUUUCUUCUUCCUCGAUUCUCUUUCUCUUCUCUCUUUUUCUUUCUUCCUCUAUUCUGUUGAAAUUAUGCAUCACUUCACCAGCAUUCAUCAUUGUGGACGUAUCUGAUCUUCAGUCUCUGGUUUACUGCCCAUGUAAAGUUAUGGAAAGGAAUGCAAAUUUAAAAGGUUUUCUUGCUAUAGUCUAUGCAAUUUCAUGUGUGGGUGAAAGGAGAUGAAGAUUAAUAGAGUAAUAUUGAUAUACCAACAAUUCAUUAAUUGAAGUACUAUCAAUAUUAUCAACAAGUAACAGAAUUAAGUGAGUACACUAAUAUAGUCUAGAAAAACAAUUUAAUUAAUAAUACCAUAGGGAUGGCAACGGGGUUAAGUUGCUAUUGCUAUUCAUAUCCCUGCCGCUAGCUUUUGACGACUUCACCAAGUAAACUGCAAUCACAAUUGUUGUUCUUAUUACCUGCAAAAACACAGCCAACAAUCUGAAUCCAUAUCCCCAUUUUAGGAACAAAUGCAUGGUGUACCAUUUGUUUCGAAGCCAAAUCAAUUUUCUUAUUUUUUCUUGAAGUAAAACCUUAUCUGACACUUAUAUUCAACACAUAUUCAUGUAUUGGUAUGAAGAUAUGACACUCUUAUCCUAUACUCGUAUCCGUGCUCAGGUAACAUAAGCUGAACCCGCAAGAUAACUGAUUUAACAUCGCAUUGCUGCUAGCUAUUGAUGAUUCCACCAAGUAAACUGCAAUCACAAGUGUUGUUCUUAUUCCUUGCAAAAACACAGUCAACAAUCUGAAUCCACAUUCCCAUUUUCGGAACAAAACCAUGGCGUACCAUUUGUUUCAAAGCCCAAUCAACUUCCUUUACCAUCUUCCCCUUACAAAAACCAUGAAUCAACUUCUUGUAUGAAUCAAAACUAGGAUUAACCCUCUCGAAAACCAUUCUCCCUAUAAUCUCCUUUGCUUCCAUAAACCUCGCAGCAUCAAGCAAACCGUACAACACCUCUUGAUAAGACCCUGCAUUGGGAUAACACCCUUUCUUUUUCAUAAUUUCCAACAGCUUCACACCUUCAUCAGUCCUACCUUGUUUCCUAAGACCUGAGAUCAAGAUAUUAAAGCUAACAGCAUCAGCAUCGAUUCCUUCCGUUUCCAUCCUCCCCAUCAACUCAAAAGCUUCAUCAACCUUCCCCUUAUCGCACAACCCGUGCAUUAAAGUAGAAUAAGUUCUAACAUUAGGCUUACACCUUUGUUUAGGAAAUUCAUCGAGCAGUUGGAAUGCAAACUCUAAUUUCCCAUUUUCACACAACCCUUUAAUGAGAAUAUUCAGAGUACAAGCUUCGAUUUCAACACCCAAAUUGGGAGCUUUCCCAUAAACCUCGUGAACAACAUCAAAUAGUUUGUUCGAUACGAGUAAGCUCAAUACGAUAUUGAAGGUUUUAACACUAGGCCAAGUCCCAUAUUCUGGCAUGCUAAAAAGGAUCUCGAUUGCCCUUUUGAUUCGACCUCCGACAUGCCCAUACUUUUUAAUCACAUGCUGGAAGAAUUCAUCGGAUAAACGACAGGCUUUUUCACGUUUGAGCUUUUCCAUUAUAUUUUCAAUGGAAUCAAAAUCCUGGGCAUAUGCGAGCUUGUUGAUGAGCAAAGUGAAGAGAGGUUCAGUUGGUUUAUAAUCCUUGCGAGCUGAGUAUUGGGCUAGGACUGAAAUGAGAGAGUUUGGAUCUUUAAGAUUGUCAAAGAUUUUGAGGAUUUCGGUCGGGGAGAGCCAGUCUUUGUGGGUUAGUUUGAAAAGGGGAGGGGAAGUGGUGUGGGUUGGUUGAUGGUAGCUGGAAAGUGAGGAGAAAAACGAAAGGGAUUUAAGAGAUGAGAUUUUAGUGGUCAUUGGAUGUUGAAAAAGUGAGGGAAAAUUUUGGGGGUAAGAGCUUUUGACAGAAGAAAGAAGGGAACGUGAAAUCAUGCGUUUGGCCAUUGGAGAAUGUAGAAACUGGAGAGCUAAAAGCUUUGUGCUAUUCGCACUAUAAACAUAUAUAGGGUAAGGGACAGGCUUAAUACUUGUUUUGUCCCCUGUAAUAUAGUAAAAAAUCUCAUUUUGACCCUUUUCCUUUACUUUGUCUGUUUACUUUCAUUUCGUCCAUUGCCUGCUUACUUUCAUUUCGUCCAUCAUGUUAGUCUAUUGAUCAUUUCCGUAAAUCCCAUGUGUUAGGGUUCCUAUAUUAUAGUAUUCAUCCAUAUACUUUAACCCUCCACGUAGUCGCAAUCAAUUGGCUUAAAUGAUCGAGGAUCACUAUAGUAUAAGGACCAAACGUAAACAUGCACUAAUUUUUUUAUACAGAAAUGGUCAAAGGAUUAAAGUGAUAGAUGAAAUGAAAGUAAAGGGCGCAAAGUGAUUGGAAAAGUAGUAAAAUGUUGGAAAAUAUUAAGAGAUUGUAUGAUGCAAAACUUAAAUAAUUUAUCUACUGAAAUUUUGAGGUGUAUUAUUUCGAAGUAAUGAAUCAUUGUUAUUUACAACUAUAUAUUAUAUCUCUUUGAAAUGUACAAAUANNNNNNNNNNNNNNNNNNNNNNNNNNNNNNNNNNNNNNNNNNNNNNNNNNNNNNNNNNNNNNNNNNNNNNNNNNNNNNNNNNNNNNNNNNNNNNNNNNNNCUUCUUCUUCCCUUCAAGAAUUGGUUGGAUUUGGAGGUGCCUAUUGAAAGCCUGGUUGAAAAGGAAUCGAGUUUGGAAUGCCGAAAUGAUCGGAAGCCAUGCCAAUAUAGCAAUUGGAGAGAAAAGGAUCGAUCCCAUUCCGUAAUCAUAUGCCUUAGCUAGUACCUCAGUGAACUGCCAGAGUCCGGUGUUCUCAGUAAUUGGCCUCACAGCUUGAGCAACCUGAAGGGAACUAAAAUGUCAGAGGGAAUAAGGCAAAAGAUGCAAACUCUAGACAAAUACUAUAUGCUGGUCCUCUAAAUAUAUGAACAAAUUUAGAAAAGAACUUGGGUAUGCCCGUAUUUGAUACUUAUUCUUGAAUUCGAGUAACAUAGUCAACUAGACAUACCAAAAUCAGACCCCAUCCAGUCGGCAGAAAUGCAAGACAGCAGACAAGUAAAUCCUUGGACGACAGUUCACAGAUGACUGAGAGAGUGAUAACAAUGGCGAAAACACUUAGGAAGAGGAAUGCUUUAAAGAACCUAAACAUCAGAUGGUAACGAGCACUGAAGAGUUGCCUUCCAACGUUCACUGCCUGUAUGUCAUGUAGAGAUCAAGUUAUCCGUGCAGAAAAUUCAAGGCUACUUCGGAAUUUUCAAAAUAGAACUCAAUAUACUUGAGUAUUAUGAUACUUGAAUGAAUUUUACCUUGACCGUCAGGAAAACUGCAAGAAUCACAACCCAGGAAAGCAUAUAAACAAGGAAAUUUUUGCUCUGUUGGGAGAUGUCAAGAUGAUACACCAAGCCAUACUGAUACAAGAAAAACCGAAUCGAAAGAAGAAUUUCGAACAAUCUAGCACCAUAUCCUGAACGACGAAGGUGAGCUUGUUCAUCAUUCCACCAAGAUUGCCAACUCUUGUUUUGCUGAAUCCCAAUACCACCUUUCUCCUUGAUCCACUUAUUCCAGCCUUUCCAAUCAUCUACAAUCUUGUCCCAAUCGAACCCGGAAGGAUUAAACAAAAAUGGUGCAAAUAACCAAGUCAUGGUCAUGAACCAAACAGAGUACGUGAUUAAUACAUAUGCCAUGCUACUCUGGUAGGACCUCCGGAACAAAUCGUAAACCACUAACAGGAGCAACAGUUCAAAUCCUUUAACAAAGUGGCUUCGUGAAUACAAUCUGUAGUUCUCAGUAAAGCUGGCAUGAAACACCACAACCUUACGUCCGGUAGGUAUAUACUUAGCUCCGCCAUACAUAAUUGUCCGACCAAAAUGAUGGGUUUUUGUCCCAAGGGAAAAAGUGAAGAAAACAGCAGCAAACUGCAGUUGCAUAAGAACAAAAUCUUUAAGGGCCGUAAGAAAUCCCUUCUCAAGUCCGAUCUCCAUUACCAUCGGUAAGCCAGUUAAAAGACCAAGCUGAAUAAACGAUUGAGAAGCAAGAGCAGUUUCCAAUGAUUCAGUGUUUUUCAUUCUAGCCUCAAUGAGGAGUGCCUUUUCUAGUCCACUAAGAACAAGGUAUAGUUGUCCGUAGAGGAACACAUAAAUUCCGAGUACAGAAAUCUGGUUUUUUACAGAUCAUAAGACGGGAAAGGCAAAAAUCAGAAAAGCAUCAUACAGAGAUAAAUAGGAAUCGGAUCAGGUAACCUUGUUUAGUGUGAGAGAAUUACCAGGCUGCUGAAGUAAAAUCCAAUGGUUGUGAAAUAGCAAGAUAGCAUCCUAAAANNNNNNNNNNNNNNNNNNNNNNNNNNNNNNNNNNNNNNNNNNNNNNNNNNNNNNNNNNNNNNNNNNNNNNNNNNNNNNNNNNNNNNNNNNNNNNNNNNNNNNNNNNNNNNNNNNNNNNNNNNNNNNNNNNNNNNNNNNNNNNNNNNNNNNNNNNNNNNNNNNNNNNNNNNNNNNNNNNNNNNNNNNNNNNNNNNNNNNNNNNNNNNNNNNNNNNNNNNNNNNNNNNNNNNNNNNNNNNNNNNNNNNNNNNNNNNNNNNNNNNNNNNNNNNNNNNNNNNNNNNNNNNNNNNNNNNNNNNNNNNNNNNNNNNNNNNNNNNNNNNNNNNNNNNNNNNNNNNNNNNNNNNNNNNNNNNNNNNNNNNNNNNNNNNNNNNNNNNNNNNNNNNNNNNNNNNNNNNNNNNNNNNNNNNNNNNNNNNNNNNNNNNNNNNNNNNNNNNNNNNNNNNNNNNNNNNNNNNNNNNNNNNNNNNNNNNNNNNNNNNNNNNNNNNNNNNNNNNNNNNNNNNNNNNNNNNNNNNNNNNNNNNNNNNNNNNNNNNNNNNNNNNNNNNNNNNNNNNNNNNNNNNNNNNNNNNNNNNNNNNNNNNNNNNNNNNNNNNNNNNNNNNNNNNNNNNNNNNNNNNNNNNNNNNNNNNNNNNNNNNNNNNNNNNNNNNNNNNNNNNAAGGUCCUUACCAAACUUAAGGGCUGAAAGCAGCAAACGUUAUCUUGAAGGGGAAGGGAGGUUCUUAUUAAAGCAGUAGCAUGCGCUUCAAUGUAUACGAUAUCUUUUCGAAUUUCCUAAAAACUUAUGCGUGGAAAUGAAUUCAGCUUUGCAUCAGGAUCCUGAUCCAGAAUAUUGUGCAGCUUCUGGACGAAGGGUCAACUAUGAUAAAAACAAGUAGGACUAACUAGCCCAAAGAGCAUCAGGAUCCUGGACUAACUGUCAAGAUUGUUUUGCAAGUAGAGGAAGUCCUCCAAGCUUUUCAAUGGAUACGUCUCUCAUUUUCCUUCUGCUGAAUUCAUUUCCACGCAUAAGUUUUUAGGAAAUUCGAAAAGAUAUCGUAUACAUUGAAGCGCAUGCUACUGCUUUAAUAAGAACCUCCAUUCCCCUUCAAGAUAACGUUUGCUGCUUUCAGCCCUUAAGUUUGGUAAGGACCUUUAUAUAUAUAUAUAUAUGGUUAAAGUAAGGACCUUAUCUUUGAUAUGCCUCAAAGUUAAUGUUUUCGAAAGCCCCCACAAAGAAGGGACACCCAAGUAGGCGUCCGAAUUAUUUGCCACCUCUAAGGUAGUCUCUUCUUGAAUCAACCUUUCGUUGUCCCUUUGGGAGUAUUCACACUAAAAACGUUGCUUGAUUUAUCAUAGUUGACCCUUCGUCCAGAAGCUGCACAAUAUUCUUGAAUCAAGUUAAUCAUUCUCCUACAAUUUAAUGAACUAGCUUCCAAAAAGAAUAGAAAUCGUUCGUGAAUAACAAAUGUGACACUACUGGAUAAUGACUACNNNNNNNNNNNNNNNNNNNNNNNNNNNNNNNNNNNNNNNNNNNNNNNNNNNNNNNNNNNNNNNNNNNNNNNNNNNNNNNNNNNNNNNNNNNNNNNNNNNNAACUCCUUUCAAUAUAUUCACCAUGAUCUUCGAUAUGAUUUAAUACUUAAAAUUAUAAGGAAUAAUUGACCUAAUUAAAUUAUGUCAUUAAUUCAAGACAUUUAGUUUUCAGAAGUAAAAUUAUCUCAAUCUCGUUCGAAAAUUUCCCUUCCCUAAAAAAAAAACUCUUAAUAGCUUCCAAAACAUCCUUUUUAAUAAUUUCCCAAUAAUUAUGAUAGAAAAUCCCGUUAAAAUCAUCCACGAAAAAAGAGAUUAAUUUAAUUGUUUUGUAUGCUUAACUUGUACAAUAUAAGUAAAAUAUUAUAAUUUUAUCUCCAAAUUCUCUCAACACAUCUUUCUGACCCUUGUUUAUAAUCUCAUUUGUAUCUAGCAGGAUAUCCAAUUUAAAAUUAAAUAAUUUUUUUUAUAAUUCUUUAAAUAUUAAAAAUAUUUUCCUCUAUUAUUAUUUUUUGUUGUUGGAGUAUUAAAUAUUAGCCUUAAAACCAUAAGGCAUGAACUAUUCCAAACAACCCUUAAAAAGAUAUGUAAAUUUUGUUUUUGAAUAUCAUUUUUACUUUUUUAGGUUUCAAAUUGGAUAGUGAAUUAUAUAUUUAUUUAUUCGAAACUCCUCUUAAAUUAAUAAGAGUGAAGUUUCUUAUUUAGUAUUGAUUGUUCCAUAAAAUAUUCAAAGUUUUCAAAGUUUUCAAAUAGAUUUAUUUUUUUAAGUGUAGUUAAUAACCUCAAUAAAAAUUAAACUUUAUAAGUGAUGAAUUUAUAUUAAAAAUUGUUUGAUAAAUUCAUAAAAUAUAAGUUUGGGUUCAUCUACUUUUACAUUUCUUUUACCUAUUUAAAUUAUUUCUUAAUUUUUCUUAUUUUUUAAAAAAUUAUUCUUAAUUUUUUAUACAGGAAAAAUAAUCGACGAGGAAAUGAAAAAGUUAGGAGAGAACAUGGUUCAACAUUGUGCAGGGCUUCCAUUAGCCAUUGUUGUAUUGGGAGGAAUUUUAGCUACAAAGAAUAAUUCAUUAAACGAAUGGCGAAAGAUAUCUGACAAUGUAAAAUCCUACUUGAAGAAGGGCAAAAAUCAAAGACUAGAGGAUGUGUUAGCAUUAAGUUAUGAUGAUUUGCCUCCCUAUCUAAGACCAUGUUUCCUCUAUCUAAGCCAUUUUCCGGAGGAUUAUAUGAUAGAUGUGGAUAGAUUGAUUCAAUUAUGGGUUGCUGAAGGUAUUGUGUCAUCAAAGCAAGAAGAAAGAGAUGGUGGGGAAAUUGUGGAAGAUGUGGCGGAAUCUUAUUUAAUGGAGCUUGUGGAAAGGUGCAUGAUUCAAGUACGAGAAAGAGAUGUGGCAACCUUAAAGGUCAAAACAAUUCAGAUGCAUGAUCUGAUGAGAGAUCUUUGCUUAUCAAAAGCAAAACAAGAAAAUCUUGUCUUCAUUGUUGAUCGACCGAAUGCAUCUUCGUUAUCUAUGAUUCGGAAGGUUCAUAGGGUUUCUGUGCAUGAGUUUUUUUUCAUACAAUGCAUUAAAAGUCCAAAUAUUUAGUCACUUUUGUUCUUCAAUGAGUUCUUUCCGAAGGAGGCAAUUGAAAAAUCUUUGCCCUUGAAAGUGUUGAAUUACGUUGAAGAACAUGAAGAUGAUGAUUGUAAUCCACUAUUUUGGAUUCUUAUAACUUUGGCACGUUCUACAGGACGUCAUAAAAUUCACGAAAUUUGUAGAUACAUGUUCAACAACUUCAAAUUGCUAAGAGUCCUAAACUAUGAGAUAAGAACAAGAAGAACACGUGAUCUUUUUGGAGGGUGGAAGUUACCCAGUGAUAUAGGUAAUCUCGUCCAUUUAAGAUUCUUGAGUCUAAGGAAUUUUGAGUUCCAACGGUCAAAGUUGCCAUCAUCUCUAGGCAACUUAAGGUGCUUGCAAACCUUGGAUUUAAGAGUUGAUGACAGAAUUCAUGUACCUAAUGUGAAAUGGAGGAUGGAGCAACUAAGACAUUUAUAUCUCCCUUUGAGAUGUAAAAGCAGAACUAAGUUGAAGUUGGGUACUUUGACAAAACUCCUAACACUUGUGAACUUCAAGACCAAGAAUUGUUAUCUGAAGGAUCUUAUCAACAUGACAAAUCUUAGAGAGUUGGGGAUAAAUUUGCCCUUCAAUAUUGAAAAUUUCAAUGAGAAGGAGUUGGGCGAGAAUCCACCCAUAAUCGGAAGUAAAUAUCUUCAUUCCUUGUCUAUUACCUAUGAAGAAGGACUGAAAAUAUUUACUUUAUUUUCUAUUGAUGUCAUUAUGAAAUCCUGGUCAAAAAUAGAUCCAAGACAUUUGGCCCACCUCCUUUCAAAUUGUACUAGUAUUUGCAAGUUGAGUAUAACAAGAGUGAUAAGUGAGUUACCAGAGUAUCACUACUUCUCUUCCCAUCUCGCUUACAUACGGUUGAUAUGUUGUAAGUUUGAGGAAGAUCCAAUGCCAACACUAGAGAAGCUGCCUAACUUAAGGAUUCUUGAACUCAAAUAUACUUCAGAAGGAAAGGAAAUGUUUUGCUCUGCUCAGGGUUUUCCUAAACUUGAGUCUCUAAUCCUUGCGGAGCUCUACAAAUUGGAGGAGUGGAAGGUGGAUGAAGGAGCCAUGCCUUCUCUUCAGCGAUUGGAGAUUGAGGAAUGUGGAAACUUGAAGAUGCUUCCAGAGGGAUUGAGGUUCAUUACAACCCUCAAAGAACUGAAGCUUGAAUUAAUGCCAAAGGCAUUCAAAGAUAGAUUAGAGGAAGGAGGAGAAGAUUUCUGCAAAGUCAAACAUGUUCCUUCUGUCAUAUUCCAAAAAUGUGGCUAAUAGAUUGAAUGAUAAUUGAGAGGUAAUUUCAUAACCUCUGGUUUAGGAAAUGAUUCCUACUUUCUUUGCUUCUUAUAUAUCUUUUGUUUUUGACAAUGUCUCACAUUCUCACUCACUUUGUCAACACACCAAUGAAUAAUUACAUUUAUUGAAAGUCAAAGGAAGUGAGACAUUGAUAUUUUUAGUUUUUCUUUUCAGGUAAAGACGCCAUUUUUUCACCUGCUACUGCUAUUCACGGGAUCAAAUCUAGAUUUAAAACUCCUAUUAUAAGUGGCAUGUGAAAGUGUGUUAUAUGGUGAGAUUUGGAAUUAUGUUCUCUCUUGUAUAUAUCUGUGGUUGUUGACUGUUUGUUGUUUUCUUCAAAUUACAAUAAAACGGUUGCAAGAUAUGGUAUUGGAAGAAUGGGAGGUGUCUGGAUUAGCAAGGUACCAAACUCCUCCUCCAUUUCAAUUUCCUUCAAUCUAAUUUAAUUACACGUUCAUUUUUGUCUUUUAAAACAUAAAAUUGCAGAUAAGGAGACGUCACUGACCUUUGUUCCCACAUAGCUUUGGUUUGCGCCUUUGCGGUGACCAUUCCUAUAUUUAUUUGUUAGCUUUGCUUUCUCUGCUUGAGUCUUUCUCUUUUUUCUUUUUUCUUUUUUUUAUAUGCACUUAAUGUAAUAUUAGAAGCCAAGGCAGGACCAUGCUUUUCUAUUGUAAAAUUCAUCACUUUGUUGUCUAUGUUCAUUUCUACUUUUCAUUUGAUAUAUAUUUGAAUAUGGAGAAUAUAAUCUUUUUAAUAUAUACAUAUUUUAGAAAAAAAAUGAAUAUAUGUAUGUUUGACAUAUUUCCCGUUUCAACAUAUUUCCUUAUUUUAUGCAAGUCAAUUGGCAUUUAACCAAAUAAAUUUAAUUGCUUCAGUUUGAGUUAAAAUUAAAAUUUCAAAAUUAAAAAAAAAAUACAAAAAAUAAAGUUGACAAAUUCAAAAAUAUACAUAUUAAAAUUGAUCAAAUUAAAAGUGCACUGGCUAACCUUAAUUUUUUUGUUAAUCUUUCUUUUCGAUUAAUUAAAUGUCCAUGACGUAUAUUAUAUAUCUUAAUAUAUAAAUAUUUUUAAAAAAAUUAAAUAUAUGUAGGUUGGACACAUAUUCAAGUUUGAUAUUCGUCUUAAAUUCGUGCAAUACGGUUAAAUAUUGGUGAAUUAGUAGUUGAUGAAGUAUUAUAUACAUUCUUGGAAUAUUGCUCUAUUCAACGAAUUUAUUUCAGCUCCAUAUGCUUAAAACGCCUCCCAUUUCUAACAUAUUUCCUCAUUUUGGGUAACUCGAUUGGUAUACAAUGUAGUCUUUUUCAUUGUUUAGUAUCCUAAUCCUUAACUCAAUAAUCUUUGUUACAAUAGGGUUUAAUGAUUGCAAUUCAUCUCGAUGCUUCCGAAGCAAAAAAAAAAAAAAUCAAAUUUUACCGGUUAAUUACAUGUCAACACAUAUAAUCCACGAUAUGUUUAUCUGAAAGAUUAAAUAAGAUUAACUAAAUCACAAAGAAAAUAAACGAGUAAACAUAAUCUAGAAAUUCCAAAUUACAUUAUCUAACAAAAAUUCAAUAAGAAAUAAAUGGUUGCAUUUCAUUCUUUAGGGAUUUGCUCUUAUAUCUUCCAACAAUAGCUUGAUGAUAAUAAGCUGAAAAAGAAAAGGAGUCCAAGGGAAUUGAAGAUUCUUAAUUCAGCUAGCUUAAUUGAUUGAAUACUUCAAAUACACUUAAUUAAUACCAAUUAUAUUUAUCAAUAAAUCUAAAAUUUGAAUCCCUCAUUUGCAACCUAUUUUGUAAAAACUGCCAAAUGAAAUCAAAUUAUCUUGUUUCAAUUCUCUUCAAAUUUUAGUUUACAACUUCUAUUUUUGGGUUUCCAUUUGUUUCUACUUUUAAAGCAAACAUUGAUUCAAGAAAUAUUUAUUUCAUUUGGCUUAUUUUCUUUUCUAUUUUUAUGCUAUUCAGAUUCGAUGAAAUAUUGAACAUAAUAUGUGUGCAAGUUAGAUGUCCGAGUCUUGAAAUGUAAGAUCGAAACGGGAGAAAUAUCCUAAAACCCGAUGCUUAAAGAUUUAUAAAAUUUAGUAUAAUCAUGUUGUUUUCAUUAUUAUAAAACUCAAUGUUAAAAUGUCUAUGAUUUGAAUUAUGAUACAAGAGAAAAAUAGCUAACUAUUUUAAGUUCAAGGUGUGAGAAAACCUCAAUAUCUAAGAUAUGAAUGUUGUAAAGUACCACUCAAUCACAGCCACAUUUGUUAGUAUGACUACUUUGGAUGAAAAGUUCUAUUCCAAGUUAUAUAUACACACAGAAAUACACAUGAAGUGGAUUAAUGGUGUAUUAUUAAGUAAAGGAAAACGGUUCUAACUAAAAGAAAGAGUUGAAAUCUUGAACCUCCAAAUAUUGGGUAACCGCUGGUGUUAAAAAGUGCAUAAAGGUCCGCGCUUAUCUACAAGAAAUAAUGGAGGAAUCGCAUACGCUGUUUAUAUUCAUUUUUUUUGCUCCACAAGCAAUCCGAAACCAUAAACAAAGGAGUACUUUUUUGCCUUUUUUAAAUGGUUUUCUUGUUUCUUUUCCGCUUUUCAAAUUCUUCAUUCAAUUCAAGUUCAAGAAACCAUACUAAAUAUAUAUAUAUGUUUAUAUUCGCUUUUCUUGCUACACAAGCAAGCCAAAACCAUAAACAAAGGCAUGCAUUUUAUUUCCUUUUUUAAUGGUUUUCUUGAUUCUUUGUUGUUUUUAAAAUUCUUCAUUCAAUUCAAGUUCAAGAAACCAUACUAAAAUAUAUAUUUAUAUUCGCUUUUUUUGCUACACAAGCAAGCUGAAACCAUAAACAAAGGCAUACAUUUUUUCCUUUUUUAAAUGCAUUUUUUUUUUUGUUUCUUUGUUGUUUUUUAGAUUCUUCAUUCAAUUCAAGUUCAAGAAAUCAUACUAAUUAUAUAUGUUUAUAUUCACUUUUCUUGCUACAUAAGCAAGCCGAAACUAUAAACAAAGGCAUACCUUUUUUUCCCCUUUUUAUCUUGCUGCUUUUUAGAUUUUUCAUUCAAUUCAAGUUUAAGAAAUCAUACUAUAUAUAUACCAUACUAUAUAUAUAUAUAUGUUUAUAUUCACUUUUCUUGCUACACAAGUCAACUGAAACCAUAAACAAAGGCAUAACUUUUUCGCUUUUUUUAAAAUGAUUUUUUUUCUUUGCUACUUUUUUAAAUUUUUAUUCAAUUUAAGUUUAAAAAACCCUACUAAAUAUAUAUAUAUAUAUAUAUAUAUUAAGAGAGAGACAUCAUCAUCCUCAAGGAGUAAGUGGUUAAGCAUGAACUUGAUGGGAAGGCCACAAGUCGGUGGUGGUCAAAUCAUGAGUUGAUUAUGAUUAGUUUCAUGUUAUGGAAAAAAGAUGCUAGUUAAAAUUAGUUACUUGACCGUUGCAUUUUGAGGUUGAGAGUUUAAUGAAACGAUACGCUUUGAUGUUUAAUGAAAACGGUGCGUAUUGAAAGUUUGAUACAACUAAUCGAAUAACAAGCCUGUAACAACUUUGUAACUACCAAUUCCUCGCUUUAAAAAAAUAUUCCAAAUAUGUUUUCUCACCUUAUCAUUUUUGUUAUUUUUCAAGCCCCCUUACCAUUUUAUAUUUUUAAUGGGUAUAUUAUAAAAAUAGUCACCUAGGUAUUGCUUUCAUUCUAUUUUAUUCACUAAGUUAUUAAUUUUUUCGAUUUAAUUACUAAAUUUUUUUAAAUUAAAUAUUUUGAUCACUCUCCCAUUAGUUAUCAUUAGAUAAGUGAUAGGAAGUUAAUGUGGGCUUUUUUUAUUAGUCUAAUAACAAAUUUAGUCAUCUAAUGUUUACACAUUCUAUUAAAUUGAUUUUAAAUAUAAAAUGUUCAAUAGCUUUAAACCUAAAUGUUUACCAAAUCUAUUGUUAUAGUUCAAAUCCUAAAAAUUUCAAUAAAUUUAAUCCUCAAAAUUUGUAAAUUUAAUUUUAAUUCUAACUCAUGGAUGAAUUAAGCAAAUUAAAUCAAAUCAAAUCAAUCGAACAAAGAAUUUAAUUAAAAAGAAAUUCUUCACAUGCAUCAAGGAGGGACUUCCUCUGGUGGUAUCAAGGGGAUUGAUAGAAACAGCUCAGGCUCGAACAAGAACUUCACUGGGCUUAAGAUCAGGAACAGACACAUCGGAUCAAAGCUGCAACACCUCAGGUCCACCGAACCGAGGCAGCAACACCGCCCUGCAACUGUUGGCAUAGCACCGAAUUGAACCCACUUUCAAUGAUAUGAUAACUCCAUAAAGGGUUUGGGUUUUAAGCUUUGAAAGUUCCCCUUUUUCUUCUCAAAUUUUCUGAACUUCAGCUCCUUCCUUUUGUUAAAUGAAGGAAAAGCAAAGGAGAGACACCGAAGUGUUUUAAUCCACAUAGAAAAUAGUGAUUAUGUGACUUGUGAGUGUUGGCCUGGGGUCUUGGAAGAAGAAGAUGAAUAUUGCAUAAUCGAUUUUUAAUUGCUUACUACAUUCAUAAUUAAAUAAAUAAAAAUUUCUAACCUUAUCAAUUAAAUCAAGUUAGAAUGUUCAACUUGAUUUUUGUUUGUUAUAAGGAUCAUAUAUUAUAAAACUUAAUUUUAUUUUAAUAAUUAUAUAAUAUUAUUUUUAAUUAUAUCAUCUGAUACCAUCUUGAGGGCUAAAUUUAGAAUUAAAAUUAAAUUGACAAAUUUUAGAAAUUUUGAGCUUAAAUUUAUUUUUAUUUUUAGGAAUUUGAAAUAAAAUGAGAAAUUUUGUAAAUAUUGAGGAUUAAAUUUGUUGGAAAUUUUAUAUUUAGAAUCAAAUGGUAGAAUGUCUAAACAUUAGGGGGCUAAAUUUAUUAUUAGACCAAUAAAAACAAGUUCAUAUCAAUUUCCCGUCACUCAUCUAAUUGCAACUAAUGAGGAAGUGAUGAAAAUAUUUAACUUCUAAAAAUUUAAUGACUAAAUAAAAAAAUUAACAUUUAAGUGAUCAAAAUAGAAUGAAAUCAAUAAUUUGAUGAGCAUUUUUGUACUGUACCCUAUCUUAAUCCAUCUCACAACCAAAUUUCUCCGUCUUUGCCUAAGUUCUGUGUCUUUGUCAAAUUUUAAUAGAAUUAACAUUUUUAUUUAAAAAAUAUCUUUAAUCGUUUAAUAUAUUUUUAAUAAGUAAAUGUUAAUUCCGUUAAGGGUCAGUUUGUUUACACGUAAAAAGUUAAAAAUAAAAAUAUUGAGUUCUAUAAUAUGAGUCUAUUGAACCGAUUCAAUCAUAAAUUUUAUUAUUAUUGGUUUAUAUAAUGGUUUGAUUUUGAAAAUAUUUGGUUUAACAUUUAGUCAUCCCUUUGAUCAAUUUUAAAUUUUAGAAAUAAUUUUGUUUUUUGUUUACAUUUAAAUGUACAGUUUCUAAUGCAUAUGUGUUACAUUUGAUUUCAAGCCAUUAAUCCUUAAUUACUUUUUAAAAUAAUAGUUUCUUUUAGUUUUUAAAUAAUGUAUAAAUUUAUAAUUAUAUAAGAAAGUAAACUAUAAUAUUAAAUUUUUAAAAAUUAAGUAAAACAACAUGCAAUAAUUUUCAUAAUAAUUAAUGAUAAAUAAGAAAAAUAUUCACAAUUAUAAAACAAACCGUUUAAGAGUAUAUAAACUACUUAUACAAAAUUCUUUUAAAUCAAAGAUGAAAUUAUAUAUAUAUAAAUAACAAAUGAAAUUAUAUAUACAAAUUUAUAAGUGAAAAAUAUACAUAAUUAUAUUCAUAAAAAGUACAUAUGACAAUAUACAAACAAGGCUAUAAAGUAAUUCAUAGGAACAUGGCUUUCUUGUUAGUAUUCUCAUUCUUUUUUUAACAUACCUUUCUUGCUUGUGUUCUCAUUCUAUUAUGAAUAUACCUUUCUUGUUCGUAUUCUCGUUCUAUUGAUGAUUAAUGUUGCUUUAUAAUUGUUUAUAAAUUUAAUAGAACUAUAUAUUACUACUAAAAGUAUAAAAGGGCAAUGAUUUGCAAUUGUUUUUAUAAUUAAGUACUGGUUCUUGCAAUUGUUUUCCCAGCAAGAUUGCGGCACUCACAUCUUGAAAUCCAAAUUCAAGAUUUUAAAGAAUUUUCUGAGCUCGAUAGCUAUUAUGGCUUGGUCUGCUGUGACAUCUGCAGUGACAACAAUUGGCAACCUGCUAACUCAGGAAGCCAUAUACCUAUGGGGCGUGGAGGAGCAAGUUGAUCGUCUGCAAACAGAGCUCAAAUGGAUGCAAAGCUCCUUAAUGGUGGCAGAGACAAAACAAUCAACGGAUGAGAGGAUUCGUCUUUGGGUUGCUGAAAUCAGAGAGCUUGCUUAUGAUGCUGAGGAUAUUGUUGAGGAAUUUGCUCUCAAGAUUGGAUCCAAAAACAAAGGUGGCCUUCCGAGUUGUAUUAAAAGAUCAGCCUGCUGUUUGAAAGAGGGAUGGGUGCUCCAUGAAACCAGGUCAAAGAUCGAGAAAAUCAUAGAAAGAGUCAGCGACUUGGUCCGACGACUACAGGCCUACGGCGUAAAGGAAUUAAAUCCCAGAGGAGAAGGAUCAAGUUUUUCAACUGAAAUACGAGAAUCAAGGCGGCCUUAUCCACAUAUUAUGGAUGAUAAUAUUGUUGGACUAGUUGAUGAUACCAAGGGAUUGGUCGAAGUUCUUACGAAGGAAAGUGGAUGCAAGGUUGUUACAAUAUGGGGCAUGGGUGGUCUGGGAAAGACCACUCUCGCCAAGAAAAUAUAUCACCAUGGUGAGGUUAUUGAUUAUUUCGAUCACUUGGCUUUUGUAUAUGUUUCUCAACCAUGCCGGAAAAGAAAUGUUUGGGAAGACAUUUUAUCUGGUUUCAAAACUUUAGAUAAAGAGGACAGGAAGAUAACAGAUGCAGAAUUAGCAGGGAAGUUGAGUAAAACUUUGAAGGAUAAAAAGUGUCUGGUGAUACUUGAUGAUGUUUGGACCAGUGAAGCUUGGGAUAGUCUAAAACCUGCCUUUCCAGUUGAUAGCAAAAGCAAGAUAUUGCUCACCUCUAGAAACAGGGGGAUAGUUUCAUAUGCUGACAUAAAAGGUAAAAUUUUCUUAAUUAGGUAAAAUUGAAUACUCUUAUUCCUUUGAUGGAAAAUAACCAUGUAUAUUAUUUCAGAGUUGAAGUGCCUAAACGAUGAAGAAAGUUGGGAAUUGUUUCAAAAGAUUGUAUUUCCUCAAACAGGUAAAUAUACAUAUAGCAAAAUUCUUGUUAUACGCUAAAUUUAUUUUUCAUUUUUAAUUUUUUUGACAAUAAUUAAAUUUAAAAAUAUAUAAAAUCUAUUUUAUUUAAAAAUUUCAAAACCUUAAUAUGAAAUAAAUAAAAGAAAUCAAGGCUUUGUAGUUUAUCAGCUAAUGGUACACGCAAGUAAAUAUAAUUAAUAGGUAAAUUCAUUAUCUUUUAUAUUAUAUAUUUUUAAUAACUUUGCUAUUAGUUACCGAGAAUAAAUUAUAUUAGGAUCAUCUUAAAAAAAUAUAAAUUUUAGGCACCAAUAAAAUAAUGUUACAUCGUUAAAUUUUUAAGAUAACAAAGAAUUAUUAUACACUCAUUUAUAUUUAAUAUUUUCUCCAACUUAAUUUAACUUUAAUUAAAUUAUUUAAAAUAAUUAAUUUUUUAAAUUAUAGACAAACAUCUUUUCUUCUUUUACAAAAUUUAAUCAUUUUUUUAUAAGUUAAUAUUUUUUUUAUUUUUGUGCAACCAUUUUUUAAAAAAAUAGUAAUUUUUGUGCAAUAUUUUUCAUGUCAUUGACACAUAAUUUUGAUAAUUAUUUUAUCCUGAACCCAAAACCCCGAACCUUGAACUCGAACCCUAAACCCUGAACCUAAACCUUGAGCCCUGAAUCUCAUAAUUUAAGGUUUGGAUUCGAGAUUUAAAGCUCAGAAUUCGAAGUUCAAGUUUAAAGUUUAAGGGUUCAGGUGGGUUACGAGUUUAGGAUUCAUGGUUCAAGGGUUUGGGGUUGCAAGUUUGGAGUUUUAUGUUUUGGAUCUAGGUUUAGAAUUAUAGAUUUAGGGUUCAGGUAAAAAAUUUACCAAAAUUAUGUGUCAAUGACAUGGAAAAAAUUGUUGAAAUGUUAUUAAAUAAUUGGAAAGGGACCAUGAAUAAUGUGGUCAGAAGAGUCCAUAAAAUAAUUUCUCUAUGGAUGAGUGUAUAAUAAUUUAUGUCUUUAAAAUUUGAUGAUGUGACAAAAAAAAUUUAAUUUUUAGGAUCUUCCUAAUGUAAGUUAUUACCUUAUCUUAAUUAUUGGACUAUAUGCUUGUUUAGUUUCUUAAGCACUUUCAUGGUAUUCUUUUAUACGUUUAUCCUGGAUCCUUGCAUCAGAAAGAUUGAGGUGCAGGUAAACCAUUCUUAUCAAGAGUAAAGCCUAAGAAAGAUGUAGUUGAUUCGAACAACUAGCACAUCUCUUUAUGACCCUAUUUAGCAAACCAAUCCACUAACCUAUUGGCUUCUCGUCUGAUAACAUUGACUUUCAAAGAAGAAAGUUGCAUGACCAGCAUAUCAAAAACCUAAAGGACUAGCCUUAAUCUCCAUCUUCGAUCUUGACUUUUCUUCUUAAUGUUAGAAGCAAUAGUCUGGGAGUUAGUCUUGAUUGUCACAUUGGUCCAUUUGUUCUUCAUAGUUAAUUCAAUCCAUCCAACCAUAGCUUUAGCCUCGACAACCUUACAUGAAUCCACUUAAUCCUUUUACCAAUCCCAUCCAGAAUCUUCCCACUUAAAUUUCUGCCUAUUUCUCUAAUACCGGCACAAGCUAUUAAGGUGUCAAAUGCCCCAUCACAAUUAACUUUAACCCAACCUUCUGGUGAUUUCUCCCAAAUAUCAGCACAAGUAUUUGACUUCCUAGUUCGAUCAGAGUUAUUGUUUGAACAGAGGAUCCAUUGAGCAGAUAAGAAUUCAUUCAUGGAGCAAUUAAUCCUUCGAAUAAUUCUCUCCAAACCAAGUUUCACACCUCCGAUUGUAACCUCACACCUAGCUUUCCAGAUGUGGUAACAAGUGAAAACAAUUCUAACUUGAAAAUCCUCCCUCAUACAAGGCAUUUGUAACAACUUAGAGAACCAUCUGUCAAAUGAUUGAGUUUGAUCAUUUAGCCCUUAAAGACCAAAACAAGCAUCAUACUAUAUUCCCCUAACCCUAUUACAACUAAGAAUAAUAUGUUCAAAGUCUCAUCUUCAAUACCACAUAAACAACAAAUUGUGUUCGAAAAACAUUUUCUUUUCCUCGGAUUAAAACGAGAUGGAAUAGCAUUAUGACACAAUUUCCAUAAGAAAAUUUUAAUUUUUUUCAGUACCUGUAAGCUCCAAAUAGCUUUCUGAGUGCUCCUAUCAAUUAAGUGAGAGCUGGAAGAUUGUAAAGAAGACUCAUUUCCAUAGUGCUUUCUCAUCUCCUUAUACCCUGACUUCAUCAAAUAUUGACCAACAGCUGUAAACGGCCACACCAAUUUAUCUUGUUCAUCUGUUUCAUGAACGGGAACUGUUGGAAAUUGCCAAUCAUUCUGCUGUUACAUUUUUUGGUUGAAGUGCAUGCAGAAAAAAAAUGUUAGAAAUUUGCCAACCAUGCUGCUGUUACAUUUUUUGGUUGAAGUGCAUGCAGCUUGAUGACAUGUUGCAUGCACUUCAACCAAAAAAAUGUAACAGCAACAUGGUUGGCCAAUUUCCAACACUCCUCCUUGGACUCUAUGCUGCAAAUACCAGUCAUUCAUUAAGUUUUUGAACUUGGCAGUCCUUAGAUGCUUUGUUUCAAGCUAACUCUUCUCAAGCAAUUCAUUUUCAACAUUGGCUUCAUUCUCAACCAAAUCUGACUUACACACUUGACUAUACCACUCUUUUGUGCCAAAGAUUUGUCCAUCAAAUGGAGUAUUCUCCUCUUUCACAGCCUUGGUUGACAACUUGCCUUUAAACUCAUCUUUUCUUUCUUGCCUUGUCCCUUUACUCAUUACAAUCCUGUUUCUUCUUGCACAAACAGUUCAUGAGUAUAGUUUGCUUGCCUUCAGUCUGCCAUUUUGGCUUGCACCUACUCGAGCUUGCAUUUAAACUGUUUGCCACUUUGGCUUGCAAUUCGAUAAGCUCACACUUUGACAAGCUCACACUUUGCUUACUGUCUUCAACAGGCUCGCAACUUUACAACUCGCAUUGAGCUUCCACAUGUUGCUGAGCUCACACCCAAAGUUAAUGAUUUCGAAAGCCCCCACAAAGAAGGGACACCCAAGUAGACGUCCGCAUUAUUUACCACCUCUAUGUUAGUCUCUUCUUGAAUCAACCUUUCGUUGUCCCUUCGGGAGUAUUCACACUAAAAACGUUGCUUGAUUUAUCAUAAUUGACCCUUCGUCUAGAAGUUGCACAAUAUUCUUGAAUCAAGUUAAUCAUUCUCCUACAAUUUAACGAACUCACUUCCAAAAAGAAUAGAAAUCGUUCGUGAAUAACAAAUGUGACACUACUGGAUAAUAACUACUAAGGCUAAUCCAAGAAAUAAAACUAGACUCGACUCUAUUAAUAAUCACCACCCCUAGAACUCCUUUCAAUAUAUUCACCAUGAUCUUCGAUAUGAUUUAAUACUUAAAAUUACACAGACUAAUUGACCUAAAUUAUGUCAUUAAUUCAAAACAUUUAGUUUUCAGAAUUAAAAUUAUCUCAAUCUCAUUUGAAAAUUUCCCUUCCCUAAAAAAAAAAACUCUUAAUAGCUUCCAAAACAUCCUUUUUAAUAAUUUCCCAAUAAUUAUGAUAAAAAUUCUGCUAAAAUAUUCGCAAAAAAAAGAUAUUAAUUUAAUUGUUUUGUAUGCUUAACUUGUACAAUAUAAGUAAAAUCUUAUAAUUUUAUCUCCAAAUUCUCUUAACACAUCUUUCUGACCCUUAUUUAUAAUCUCAUUUGUAUCUAAGAGGAUAUUCAAUUUAAAAUUAAAUAAUCUUUCUUAUAUAAUUCUUUAAACAUUAAAAGUAUUUUCCUCUAUUUUUUUUUUUUUGGUUGGAGUAUUAAAUAUUAGCCUUAAAACCAUAAGGCAUGAACUAUUCCAAACAACCCUUAAAAAGAUAUGUAAAUUUUGUUUUUGAAUAUAUCAUUCUUACUUUUUUAGAUUUCAAAUUGGAUAGUGAAUUAUAUAUUUAUUUAUUUGAAACUCCUCUUAAAUUAAUGAGAGUGAAGUUUCUUAUUUAGAAUUGAUUGUUCUAUAAAGUAUUCAAAUUUUUCAAAUAGAUUUAUUUUUUCAAGUGUAGUUAAUAACCGCAAUAAAAACUAAAUUUUAUAAGUGAUGAAUUUAUAUUAAAAAUUGUUUGAUAAAUUCAUAAAAUAUAAGUUUGGAUUCAUCUACUUUUACAUUUUUUUUACCUAUUUAAAUUAGUUCUUAAUUUUCCUUAUUUUUAAAAAAUUUAUUCUUAAUUUUUUAUACAGAAAAUAUAAUCGACGUGGAAAUGAAAAAGUUAGGAGAGAAUAUGGUUAAACAUUGUGCAGGGCUUCCAUUAGCCAUUGUUGUAUUGGGAGGAAUUUUGGCUACAAAGAAUAAUUCAUUAAAUGAAUGGCGAAAGAUAUCUGACAAUAUAAAAUCAUACUUGAAGAAAGGCAAAAAUCAAAGACCAGAGGAUGUGUUAACAUUAAGUUAUGAUGAUUUGCCUCCCUAUCUAAGACCAUGUUUCCUCUAUCUAAGCCAUUUUCCGGAGGAUUAUAUGAUAGAUGUGGAUAGAUUGAUUCGAUUAUGGGUUGCUGAAGGUAUUGUGUCAUCAAAGCAAGAAGAAAGAGAUGAUGGGGAAAUUGCGGAAGAUGUGGCGGAAUCUUAUUUAAUGGAGCUUGUGGAAAGGUGCAUGAUUCAAGUACGAGAAAGAGAUGUGGCAACCUUAAAGGUCAAAACAAUUCAGAUGCAUGAUCUGAUGAGAGAUCUUUGCUUAUCAAAGGCAAAACAAGAAAAUUUUGUCUUCAUUGUUGAUCAAUCAAAUGCAUCUUCAUUAUCUAUGAUUCGGAACGUUCGAAGGGUUUCUGUGCAUGAGUUUUUUUCAUACAAUGCAUUAAAAGUCCAAAUAUUCGGUCACUUUUGUUCUUCAAUGAGUUUUUUCCGGAGGAGGCAUUAGAAAAAUCUUUGCCCUUGGAAGUGUUGAAUUACGUUGAAGAACAUGAAGAUGAAGUUUGUAAUCCACUUGUUUGGAUUCUUAUGAUUUCGCGAACUGGUACGAGCUUUCUUAAAGCUCGGGGAAUUUGGAGAUACAUGUUCAACAACUUCAAAUUGCUAAGAGCCCUAAACUAUGAGAGAACAACAUGUGAUCGUUUUGUAGGGUUUAAGUUACCCAGUGAUAUAGGUAAUCUCAUCCAUUUAAGAUUCUUGAGUCUAAAGGAUCUUGAGUUCACAUGGCCAAAGUUGCCAUCAUCUCUAGGCAACUUAAGGUGCUUGCAAACCUUGGAUUUAAGAGUUGAUAGUUACAAAAUUCAUGUACCUAAUGUGAUAUGGAGGAUGGAGCAACUAAGACAUUUAUAUCUCCCUUGGAGAUGUAAAAGCAGAACUAAGUUGAAGUUGGGUACUUUGAGAAAACUCCUAACACUUGUGAACUUCAACACCAAGAAUUGUUAUCUGAAGGAUCUUAUCAACAUGACAAAUCUUAGAGAGUUGGGGAUAAAUUUACCCUUCAAUUUUGAAAAUUUCAAUGAGAAGGAGUUGGGCGAGAAUCCAUUCAUAAUCGGAAGCAAAUAUCUUCAUUCCUUGUCUAUUAUUACCCGUAGGCUAAAGAUAUCAAUAGAUCCAAGACAUUUGGCCCACCUCCUUUCAACUUGUACAAGUAUUUGCAAGUUGAGUAUAGCAGCAGAGAUAAGUAAGUUACCAGAGUAUCACUACUUCUCUUCACAUCUCACUUACAUACGGUUGAGAUGGUGCAAGUUUGAGGAAGAUCCAAUGCCAACACUAGAGAAGCUGCCUAACUUAAGGAUUCUUGAAUUCGAAUGUUCUUUGAAAGGAAAGUAAAUGUUUUGCUCUGCUCAGGGUUUUCCUAAACUUGAGUCUCUAAUCCUUGCGGAGGUCGACAAUUUGGAGGAAUGGGAGGUGGAUGACGGAGCCAUGCCUUCUCUUCAGCGAUUGGAUAUCAGGCAUUGCCCAAGCUUGAAGAUGCUUCCAGAGGGAUUGAGCUCCAUUACAACCCUCAAAGAACUGAAGAUUGAAUCAAUGCCAAAGGCAUUCAAAGAAAGAUUGGAGAAAGGAGGAGAAGAUUUCUACAUAGUCAAAGAUGUUCCUUCUAUCAUACUCCAAUACUGUGGCUAAUAAAUUGAAUGAUAAUUGAGAGGUAAUUUCAUAACCUCUAGUUUAGGAAAUGAUUCCUACUUUCUUUGCUUCUUAUAUAUCUUCCGUUUUUGACAAUGUCUCACAUUCUCACUCAAUUUGUCAACACACCAAUGAAUAAUUACAUUUAUUAAAAGUCAAAGGAAGUCAUCUUUUUAGUUUUGCUUUUCAGGUAAAGACGCCAUUUUUUCACCUACUACUAUAAUGGCGUGUGAAAGUGUGUUAUAUGGUGAGAUUUGGAAUUAUCUUCUCUCUUGUAUAUAUUGUUGGAACAUUUUCAAAUAUUUAUAGUAUCCCAAUAACUAUAAAUGAAUGGGUGUAAUUAAUCAAAAGAUAAAUCUUUUGGUCAUUGGUCAAAAGUUAUAUCAUUUGAUUUUUUAAAAAAGAAUUAUAAUUAUUCAAAAAAUAUUAUUUGAAUAGUUACAAAAUUAAAGGAAUAAUUAUUAUUAUUUAUUUAUUCAUAAAGACACCUAUUGAAAGAUGUCUCUAUGAAGAGACAUGAAAAUUCCUAUAAAUAGGAAUGGGAUUUCAUUUGGAAAUCAUAUCAACAAAUUCUAAUAUUAUUUCUUCUCUUCCUUCAUUUUCUAAUAUUAUUAGAUUAUUCUAUAAAGUAUUCCUGCAGAAAUUCUUUGUAGAAAUUGAGUUUUUGUUACACAUUACUCAGUGCAUAGUGGACUAUUCUCGUCAGUGCAAAACACAAAUAGUCAUUGGCUUCAUUGUAUCCUCGAGGUUAAUUUGCUUGGAACUCAUUUGCACACUGAAGAUAAGUGGGGGCGAAUAUAACCUUAAUGAUAGUGGCUUGAUACACGCCUUGGAGCCUUGUCCUAUUUCUUCUUUUUCUUUUCGAGUUCCGAUCGUGUGUUCGAGAUUUUCCUUACCGGAGUUUUGUAAUAACAUAUAUCUAUGGUUGUUGACUGUUUGUUGUUUUCUUCAAAGUACAAUAAAACGGUUGCAAGAUAAGGUAUUGGAAGAAUGGGAGGUGUCUGGAUUAGCAAGGUACCAAAUAAGGAGACGUCAUAAAACAUAACAUUGCAGAUAAGGAGACAUCACUGACCUUUGUUCCCACAUAGCUUUGGUUUGCGGUGACCAUUCCUAUAUUUAUUUGUUAGCUUUGCUUUCUCUUUCUUUUUUUUCCCUUAAGUCUGCUUGAGUCUUUUUCUUUUUUUAUAUGUACUUAAUGUAAUAGUAGAAGCCAAGGCAGGACCAUGCUUUUCUAUUGUAAAAUUCAUCACUUCGUUAUUUUAUAUUUGUAUGUUGACACAUUUCCCGUUUCAACAUAUUUCCUUAUUUUAUGCAAGUCGAUUGGUAUUCAUCAUAAAAAUUACGAUAUCAUAUCAAGUUUAAUGGUUACACUUCCAAAACAAAAAAUAGGAAAAAUUAAAUCUUACCAACUAAUAACACUUUCAAAUUACACUGUCUUACAAAAAAAAAAAAAAAAAAGAAGAAGAUACAAUUUGAAUUUUUUUAUCAAAUGGUUUAGCAAGCUAUGCUUUAUAAAAGAGGCAAAGGAAUCCAAGGGAAUCAAAGAUUCCAAAAUCGAUAUUUAGAUUCAAGAUUUUGUAUCCCCAUGCUUUGCUUCUUAUAUCUACCAACAAUAUCUUGAUGAUAACAAACUAAAAAAAACUAUUCAAGGGAAUCGAAGAUUUCAAAUCCAACAUAAUUGAUUGAAAAUUUCACAUCCACUUAAUUAAUUCAAAUGAUAUUUAGUCAAUAAGUUUAAAUUAAAAACUGCAAGAAUCUUCAUUUAUCUUUUAUUCGAAAUGUAAUUCGGAUUCAAUGAAAAUAUUGAACAUAUAAUGUGUGCACAUGGAAAUGUCCAAAUCUUUAAAUAUAGGGUCGACAUGGGAGAAAUCUCCUCAGACAUUGAAUUUAUUGAGUGCAUUUUCAGAGGAAAAUCCUGAAACAUGUUACAGGCAAAUAUUAAGAAAAACAAUGCACAAGCAUAAGUACAAAAACAUAGCAUGCAAGAAAUCAAUACUUGAAAGGAUUAAAAUCACUGCUAACCUAAGACAUUGAAUCUAGCACCACUAGGAAACAUCCGAAAUGAUACUUGUCUUUCAAUGUUGAGAUACAUACGUCCAAGUCUGCCAUGUUGCGCCAAACUGGAAUUCAUCAACCUNNNNNNNNNNNNNNNNNNNNNNNNNNNNNNNNNNNNNNNNNNNNNNNNNNNNNNNNNNNNNNNNNNNNNNNNNNNNNNNNNNNNNNNNNNNNNNNNNNNNUUAUAUAUAUAUAUAUAUAUAUAUAUACAGACACACACACAGAUAGACAUGAAGAAAGUGGGUUAAUGGUGUAUUAUUUAAGUAAAGAAAAAGUUGAAAUCUUAAACCUCUAAAUAUUGGGUAACAGCUAGUGUUAAAAGUGCAUAAAGUUCUUCUAUUAUCUACAAGAAACAAUGGAGGAAUCACAUACAUUGUUUAUAUUCACUUUUCUUGCUACACAAGCAAGCUGAGUCCAUAAACAAAGGCAUACCUUUUCUCCGUUUUUAAAUGGUUUUCUUGUUUCUUGGCUGCUUUUUAUAUUAAGAAGAGAGAUUGUGAGACCUCGUCAUCCUCAAGGAGUAAGUGGUCCAGCAUGAAGAUGAUGGGAAGACCAUGAGUCGAUGGUGGUCAAUCCAUGAGUUGAUUAUGAGUAGUUUCAUGUUAUGAAAUAAAAAUGUUAGCUAAAGUUAGUUGAACGCUGUGUUUUAGGGUUGAGGGUUUAAUGAAACUAUCAGUUUUGAUGUUGAAUGAAAAUGGUGCGUAUUGACGGUUUGUUACAACUGCUCGAGGAACAGCCCUAUAACAGACUUUGUAACUGCCAAUUCUCAGCCAUAAUAGAAACUGGCAUGGGAAAUGGGCAGAUAUGCCAUUUUGUGAAGGAAAUCAAUUCUUUCUUCUUCCUUGAUUCUCUUUCUCUUCUCUCUUUUUCUUUCUUCCUCUAUUCUGUUGAAAUUAUGCAUCACUUCACCAGUAUUCAUCAUUGUGGACGUAUCUGAUCUUCAGUCUCUGGUUUACUGCCCAUGUAAAGUUAUGGAAAGAAAUGCAAAUUUAAAAGGAUUUCUUGCUAUAGUCUAUGCAAUUUCAUGUGUGCGUGAAAGGAGAUGAAGAUUAAUAGAGUAAUACUGAUAUACCAACAAUUCAUUAAUUGAAGUACUAUCAAUAUUAUCAACAAGUAACAGGAUUAAGUGAGUAUACUAAUAUAGUCUAGAAAAGCAAUUUAAUUAAUAAUACCAUAGGGAUGGCAAGAGGGUGAAGUUGCUAUUGCUAUUUAUAUCUCAGCUGCUAGCUUUUGACGACUUCACCAAGUAAACUGCAAUCACAAGUGUUGUUCUUAUUACCUGCAAAAACAGAGCCAACAAUCUGAAUCCAUAUCCCCAUUUUAGGAACAANNNNNNNNNNNNNNNNNNNNNNNNNNNNNNNNNNNNNNNNNNNNNNNNNNNNNNNNNNNNNNNNNNNNNNNNNNNNNNNNNNNNNNNNNNNNNNNNNNNNCCGUAUCUGACACUUAUAUUCAACACAUAUUCAUGUAUUGGUAUGAAGAUAUGAUAUUCUUAUCCUAUACUCAUAUCCGUGCUCAGGUAACAUAAACUGAACCCGCAAGAUAACUGAUUUAACAUUGCAUUGCUGCUAGCUAUUGAUGAUUUCACCAAGUAAACUGCAAUCACAAGUGUUGUUCUUAUUCCUUGAAAAAACACAGUCAACAAUCUGAAUCCACAUUCCCAUUUUCGGAACAAAACCAUGGCGUACCAUUUGUUUCAAAGCCCAAUCAACUUCCUUUACCAUCUUCCCCUUAUAAAAACCAUGAAUCAACUUCUUGUAUGAAUCAAAACUAGGAUUAACCCUCUCGAAAACCAUUCUCCCCAUAAUCUCCUUUGCUUCCAUAAACCUCGCAGCAUCAAGCAAACCAUACAACACCUCUUGAUAAGACCCUGCAUUGGGAUAACACCCUUUCUUUUUCAUAAUUUCCAACAGCUUCACACCUUCAUCAAUCCUACCUUGUUUCCUAAGACCUGAAAUCAAGAUAUUAAAGCUAACAGCAUCAGCAUCGAUUCCUUCCGUUUCCAUCCUCCCCAUCAACUCAAAAGCUUCAUCAACCUUCCCCUUAUCGCACAACCCGUGCAUUAAAGUAGAAUAAGUUCUAACAUUAGGCUUACACCUUUGUUUAGGAAAUUCAUCGAGCAGUUGGAAUGCAAACUCUAAUUUCCCAUUUUCACACAACCCUUUAAUGAGAAUAUUCAGAGUACAAGCUUCGAUUUCAACACCCAAAUUGGGAGGUAAACCUCGUGAACAACAUCAAAUAGUUUGUUCGAUACGAGUAAGCUCAAUACGAUAUUGAAGGUUUUAACACUAGGCCAAGUCCCAUAUUCUGGCAUACUAAAAAGGAUCUCGAUUGCCCUUUUGAUUCGANNNNNNNNNNNNNNNNNNNNNNNNNNNNNNNNNNNNNNNNNNNNNNNNNNNNNNNNNNNNNNNNNNNNNNNNNNNNNNNNNNNNNNNNNNNNNNNNNNNNNNNNNNNNNNNNNNNNNNNNNNNNNNNNNNNNNNNNNNNNNNNNNNNNNNNNNNNNNNNNNNNNNNNNNNNNNNNNNNNNNNNNNNNNNNNNNNNNNNNNNNNNNNNNNNNNNNNNNNNNNNNNNNNNNNNNNNNNNNNNNNNNNNNNNNNNNNNNNCAGCCAGUCUUUGUGGGUUAGUUUGAAAAGGGCAGGGGAAGUGGAGUGGGUUGGUUGAUGGUAGCUGGAAAAUGAGGAGAAAAACGAAAGGGGUUUAAGAGAUGAGAUUUUAGUGGCGAUUGGAUGGUGAAAAAGUGAGGGAAAAUUUUGGGGGUAAGAGCUUUUGACAGAAGAAAGAAGGGAACGUGAAAUCAUGCGUUUGGCCAUUGGAGAAUGUAGAAACUGGAGAGCUAAAAGCUUUGUGCUAUUCGCACUAUAAACAUAUAUAGGGUAAGGGACAGGCUUAAUACUUGUUUUGUCCCCUGUAAUAUAGUAAAAAAUCUCAUUUUGACCCUUUUCCUUUACUUUGUCUGUUUACUUUCAUUUCGUCCAUCAUGUUAGUCUAUUGAUCAUUUCCGUAAAUCCCAUGUGUUAGGGUUCCUAUAUUAUAGUAUUCAUCCAUAUACUUUAACCCUCCACGUAGUCGCAAUCAAUUGGCUUAAAUGAUCACACACGAGGAUCACUAUAGUAUAAGGACCAAAGUGAGAAUUUUAUUAUUAAUUAAGUGACAAAUACGUAAACAUGCACUAAUUUUUUUAUACAGAAAUGGUCAAAGAAUUAAAGUGAUAGAUGAAAUGAAAGUAAAGGGCGCAAAGUGAUUGGAAAAUUAGUAAAAGGUUGGAAAAUAUGAAGAGAUUGUAUGAUGCAAAACUUAAAUAAUUUAUCUACUGCAAUUUUGAGGUGUAUUAAUUUGAAGUAAUGAAUCAUUGUUAUUUACAACUAUAUAUUAUAUCUCUUUGAAAUGUACAAAUAAAUUAAUGGGCAGAAUGUUUAUGAAUGUCAAAACUUUAUUUUUGCUUCUUCUUCCCUUCAAGAAUUGGUUGGAUUUGGAGAUGCCAAUUGAAAGCCUGGUUCAAAAGGAAUCGAGUUUGGAAUGCCGAAAUGAUCGGAAGCCAUGCCAAUAUAGCAAUUGGAGAGAAAAGGAUCGAUCCCAUUCCGUAAUCAUAUGCCUUAGCUAGUACCUCAGUGAACUGCCAGAGUCCGGUGUUCUCAAUAAUUGGCCUCACAGCUUGAGCAACCUGAAGGGAACUAAAAUGUCAGAGGGAAUAAGGCAAAAGAUGUAAACUCUAGACAAAAACUAUAUGCCGAUCCUCUAAAUAUAUGAACAAAUUUAAAAAAAAAAAUUGGCCAUGCCCGUAUUUGAUACUUAUUGUUGAAUUCGAGUAACAUAGUCAACUAGACAUACCAAAAUCAGACCCCAUCCAGUCAGCAGAAAUGCAAGACAGCAGACAAGUAAAUCCUUGAACGACAGUUCACAGAUGACUGAGAGACUAAUAACAAUGGCCAAAAUCCUUUACAAUUGUUUGAUUCCUCAGUCAUAUUGCCUUGGAAUCUUCGGAAGUCAAGACAAGUCUAGCUCAUCAGCUUUGCCAUUCAUCUUGAAACUCCAAGCCAAUAUGUCGUGCGUGAACCCAGGCUAUAUAAACAAUGCAAAUAAAAUAUAUGAAAUCACGGUGUACUGUAAGUAUAGAGAUUAAAUUGUAAUAUAGUUUUAGAUUUAUAAUGAAAUACAAAAAUAUUUCAAAAAUCGUACUCAAAGAAAGUAUGAACUAAAAUUGAAUUAAACAUUAACAAAGAAUAUGCAAAACUAAGUCUAAAUAGCUACUUCCUUAAUUAUGAUAGUAUGAUUAAACAUAAAUUGAAAGUAUAAAACUGGUAGACAAAUCAAUGAGAAAUGACAAACAAUAGUUCAUUAAUAUCCAUGAUUGUAAUUAAUCUAGACUUAUUCUACCAAAUAAUCAAUUUAGUCCUCUUAUCUUUCGAGCUGAUGGAUCUAAAUGGGACAACUGAAUCAGUUCUAGAUAAAAUCUCCUUUCAAUCUCAUCUACUUAAAUUUUCAUCUAGAGUCAUCAAUUUGAUCCAAUUAAUCAACUCAAAGCCUAGAAUUAAAUUAACUAUUCUCACUUCAAUUAACCAACUUUCUCAAAAAUUUAGUUAAGACCCAUUCUAAUGAUACUAGACCCACUUAAUUCGUAAACCAUGAAUAAAGUUAAUGAUACGAAAGAAUAGAGUUGAGAGAUGCGCAAUAAUCCAAAAAUUUCUGAUUGUGGAUAUCUUCUUUGAGUAGCAACUGAAAUUCUCAUAACGAAAGCGUGAAAUGAAAAAAUAAAUAUAUUUUUAUUAAAAUGAGUAUGAAGCGAGUGAAAUGAAAAAGAAAGGAAAACGGAUAAGGCUCCGAUUAAAGUUACUUUAAACAAGUAAAUAUAUUUUAUUCAAAUUUAUAGUUUAUUAUAUUUAUCUGUAAUCCUCACUUUAAAAAAGCAUUCCAAAUAUGCUUCCUCACUAGAGGUAAUAAUGGGUUGGACGGCCCGGCCUGACGGCCCACCCGAAAUAUGGGAGGAUUUGGGUAAAAAUAUAAGCCCGAAAUAUGGGUUUGGGUAAAAAAUGAGACCCGUUUAGAAAACGGGCUGGGCCUUAGGCAAAAAGUUUUUGGCCUGGGCCGAGCCUGGACAAAAUUUUAGUCCCAUAUUUUGGGCCGGGGUAGGCCCAGGGAUAGGACGUAGGCUGAAAAUUUUUUUUGGGCCUUGCCCGAACCCAGCCCGGCUCGGCCCAUGAUCACCUCUGUUCCUCACCUUAUCAUUUUUGCUUUUUUUCAAGUGCCAUUAUAAUUUUUGUUAAUCUUUCUUUUCCCUUAAUUAAAGCUUGAUGACUUAUAUUAUAUAUAUCCAUUUUAAAGAAAAUGUCACUAAAUUAUUGCUUUCGUUCUGUUUUGGUUAUUAAAUUAUUAAUUUUUUCGAUUUCGUUACUAAAUUUUUCGAAAUUAAUUAUUUUGAUCACUUUCUCGUUAAUUGUCAUUAGAUAAGUGAGGAAAAGCUAACACAAGUUUAUUUUAUUGUUCAAAGUAAUCCCUAUAUAUUAAAUAAAAAUUCAAUUUAAUUAUUGAAUUAAACUAAAAAUUCAAAUAAACUCAUAAUAUUACAACUUUUUUAUUAUAUAUAAUAUUUCCAAAUAAUAAAUUUAAAUUUAUUAUGAUUAUCAAACUUUUGUUUCAAUAUACCUACUAUAGUAUAUUUUCACUUUUUAAAUUGAUUAUAAUUAUUUUUUAAAUGUUAAUUUAAUAAUACGAUAAAAAAAUAAAUGAUAUUUUUAUCGAUUUAAUUUUUUUAAACUUAUGCUUUUAUAGAUAUUAUAGAUGGAUUAUAGAUUAUAGGAAUAGGGUCUAAUGGCUAAAAAGAAAAAUUAUGUACCGGCUAUGUGAAGGCAUUAUACAAUGGAUCAUCAAAGUAGAAAGAUUAGUAUUAGAUAAAGUGAAAGUGAGUGUCCUCCACUCAUUUUACUUUUAAAAAAAAAAAUUUAAACAAAAAAGACUUUACUUUUGUUCUACGAACCUUUCUGUUUGUAGGAUUUCUGCACUCACAUCUUGAAAUCCAAAUUCAAGAUUUUAAAGAAAUUUCUGAGCUUACUCACUAUUAUGGCUUGGUCUGCUGUGACAUCUGCAGUGACAACAAUUGGCAACCUACUAACUCAGGAAGCCAUAUACCUAUGGGGUGUGGAGGAGCAAGUUAUGGAUGCAAAGCUCCUUAAUGGAGGCAGAGACAAAACAAUCAAAGGAUGAGAGGAUUCGUCUGUGGCUUGCUGAAAUCAGAGAGCUUGCUUAUGAUGCUGAGGAUAUUGUUGAGGAAUUUGCUCUCAAGAUUGGAUCCAAAAACAAAGGUGGCCUUCCGAGUUGUAUUAAAAGAUCAGCCUGCUGUUUGAAAGAGGGAUGGGUGCUCCAUGAAACCAGGUCAAAGAUCGAGAAAAUCAUAGAAAGAAUCAACGACUUGGUCCGGCGACUACAGGCCUACGGAGUAAAGGAAUUAAAGGACAGAGGAGAAGAAUCAAGUUUUUCAACUGAAAGACGAGAAUCAAGGCGGCCUUAUCCACAUAUUAUGGAUGAUAAUAUUGUUGGACUAGUUGAUGAUACCGAGGGAUNNNNNNNNNNNNNNNNNNNNNNNNNNNNNNNNNNNNNNNNNNNNNNNNNNNNNNNNNNNNNNNNNNNNNNNNNNNNNNNNNNNNNNNNNNNNNNNNNNNNNNNNNNNNNNNNNNNNNNNNNNNNNNNNNNNNNNNNNNNNNNNNNNNNNNNNNNNNNNNNNNNNNNNNNNNNNNNNNNNNNNNNNNNNNNNNNNNNNNNNNNNNNNNNNNNNNNNNNNNNNNNNNNNNNNNNNNNNNNNNNNNNNNNNNNNNNNNNNNNNNNNNNNNNNNNNNNNNNNNNNNNNNUUGAUGAUGUUUGGACCAGUGAAGCUUGGGAUAGUCUAAAACCUGCCUUUCCAGUUGCAACGGGCCGUGAUAGCAAUAGCAAGAUAUUGCUCACCUCUAGAAACAAGGGGAUAGUUUCAGAUGCUGAGAUAAGAGGUAAAAUUUUCUUAAUUAGGUAAAAUUGAAUACUCUUAUUCCUUUGAUGGAAAAUAACCAUGUAUAUUAUUUCAGAGUUGAAGUGCCUAAACGAUGAAGAAAGUUGGGAAUUGUUUCAAAAGAUUGUAUUUCCUCAAACAGGUAAAUAUACGUAUAGCAAAAUUCUUGUUAUAUGCUAAAUUUAUUUUUCAUUUAAAAUUUUUUUUUGGUGAAAGUAAGGACCUUAUCUUUGAUAUGCCUCAAAGUUAAUGUUUUCGAAAGCCCCCACAAAGAAGGGACACCCAAGUAGGCGUCCGAAUUAUUUGCCACCUCUAAGUUAGUCUCUUCUUGAAUCAACCUUUCGUUGUCCCUUUGGGAGUAUUCACACUAAAAACGUUGCUUGAUUUAUCAUAGUUGACCCUUCGUCCAGAAGCUGCACAAUAUUCUUGAAUCAAGUUAAUCAUUCUCCUACAAUUUAACGAACUAGCUUCCAAAAAGAAUAGAAAUCGUUCGUGAAUAACAAAUGUGACACUACUGGAUAAUGACUACUAAGGCUAAUCCCAGAAAUAAAACUAGACUCGACUCUAAUAAUAAUCACUACCCCUAGAACUCCUUUCAAUAUAUUCACCAUGAUCUUCGAUAUGAUUUAAUACUUAAAAUUACAAGGACUAAUUGACCUAAAUUAUGUCAUUAAUUCAAGACAUUUAGUUUUCAGAAUUAAAAUUAUUUCAAUCUCGUUCAAAAAUUUCCCUUCCCUUAAUAGCUUCCAAAACAUCCUUUUUAAUAAUUUCCCAAUAAUUAUUAUAGAAAAUCCCGUUAAAAUCAUUUGCAAAAAAAGAGAUUAAUUUAAUUGUUUUGUAUGCUUAACUUGUACAAUAUAAGUAAAAUCUUAUAAUUUUAUCUCCAAAUUCUCUCAACACAAUUUUCUGACCCUUAUUUAUAAUCUCAUUUGCAUCACACAGGAUAUCCAAUUUAAAAUUAAAUAAUUUUUUUUAUAUAAUUCUUUAAAUAUUAAAAGUAUUUUCCUCUAUUAUUUUUUUUUGUUGGAGUAUUAAAUAUUAGCCUUGAAACCAUAAGGCAGGAACUAUUCCAAACAACCCUUAAAAAGAUAUGUAAAUUUUGUUUUUGAAUAUCAUUUUUACUUUUUUAGAUUUCAAAUUGGAUAAUGAACUAUAUAUUUAUUCAUUCGAAACUCCUCUUAAAUUAGUGAGAGUGAAGUUUCUUAUUUAGUAUUGAUUGUUCCAUAAAAUUUUCAAAGUUUUCAAAGUUUUCAAAUAGAUUUAUUUUUUCAAGUGUAGUUAAUAACCGCAAUAAAAAUUAAACUUUAUAAGUGAUAAAUUUAUAUUAAAAAUUGUUUGAUAUAUUCAUAAAAUAUAAGUUUGAGUUCAUCUACUUUUACAUUUCUUUUACCUAUUUAAAUUAUUUCUUAAUUUUCCUUAUUUUUUAAAAAUUUAUUCUUAAUUUUUUAUAUAGGAAAUAUAAUCGACGUGGAAAUGAAAAAGUUAGGAGAGAACAUGGUUAAACAUUGUGCAGGGCUUCCAUUAGCCAUUGUUGUGUUGGGAGGAAUUUUGGCUACAAAGAAUAAUUCAUUAAACGAAUGGCAAAAGAUAUCUGACAAUGUAAAAUCAUACUUGAAGAGAGGCAAAAAUCAAGGACCAAAGGAUGUGUUAGCAUUAAGUUAUGAUGAUUUGCCUCCUUAUCUAAGACCAUGUUUCCUCUAUCUAAGCCAUUUUCCGGAGGAUUAUAUGAUAGAUAUGGAUAGAUUGAUUCAAUUAUGGGUUGCUGAAGGUAUUGUGUCAUCAAAGCAAGAAGAAAGAGACGGUGGGGAAAUUGCGGAAGAUGUGGCGGAAUCUUAUUUAAUGGAGCUUGUGGAAAGGUGCAUGAUUCAAGUACGAGAAAGAGAUGUGGCAACCUUAAAGGUCAAAACAAUUCAGAUGCAUGAUCUGAUGAGAGAUCUUUGCUUAUCAAAGGCAAAACAAGAAAAUUUUGUCUUCAUUGUCGAUCAAUCAAAUGCAUCUUCAUUAUCUAUGAUUCGGAAGGUUCGUAGGGUUUCUGUGCAUGAGUUUUUUUUCAUACAAUGCAUUAAAAGUCCAAAUAUUCGGUCAGUUUUGUUCUUCGAUGAGUUCUUUCCGGAGGAGGCAUUAGAAAAAUCUUUGCCCUUGGAAGUGUUGAAUUACGUUGAAGAACAUGUAGAUGAAGUUCGUAAUCCACUUGUUUGGAUUCUUAUGAUUUCGCUAGGUUGUACGAGACUUCUUAAAGCUCGGGGAAUUUGGAGAUACAUGUUCAACAACUUCAAAUUGCUAAGAGCCCUAAACUAUGAGAGAACAGGAGGUUAUCCUUUUGUAGGGUUUAAGUUACCCAGAGAUAUAGGAAAUCUCGUCCAUUUAAGAUUCUUGAGUCUAAAGGAUCAUGAGUUCUUAUGGCCAAAGUUGCCAUCAUCUCUACGCAACUUAAGGUGCUUGCAAACCUUGGAUUUAAGAGUUGGUUGUGGCAUAAUUCAUUUACCUAAUGUGAUAUGGAGGAUGGAGCAACUAAGACAUUUAUAUCUCCCUUUAAGAUGUAAAAGCAGUACUAAGUUGAAGUUGGGUACUUUGAGAAAACUCCUAACACUUGUGAACUCAACACCAAGAAUUGUUAUCUGAAGGAACUUAUGAACAUGACAAAUCUUAGAGAGUUGGAAAUAAAUUCGCCCUUCAAUAUUGAAAAUUUCAAUGAGACGGAGUUGGGCGAGAAUCCACCCAUAAUCGGAAGUAAAUGUCUUCAUUCCUUGUCUAUUAUUACCUCUGGGGACGAAUCAAUAGAUCCAAAACAUUUGGCCCAUCUCCUUUCAAAUUGUACAAGUAUUUGCAAGUUGAGUAUAGAAACAAGGAUAAGCGAGUUACCAGAGUAUCACUACUUCUCUUCACAUCUCGCUUAUAUAGGGUUGAGAUGGUGCAAGCUUGAGAAAGAUCCAAUGCCAACACUAGAGAAGCUGCCUAACUUAAGGAUUCUUGAACUCGAAAGUUAUUUCGAAGGAAAGGAAAUGUUUUGCUCUGCUCAUGGUUUUCCUAAACUUGAGUCUCUAAUCCUUACUGAGGUCAACAAUUUGGAGGAGUGGAAGGUGGAUGAAGGAGCCAUGCCUUCUCUUCAGCGAUUGGAGAUCAAGGGUUGCCUAGGAUUGAAGAUGCUUCCAGAGGGAUUGAGGUUCAUUACAACCCUCAAAGAACUGAAGAUUGAAUCAAUGCCAAAGGCAUUCAAAGAUAGAUUGGAGGAGGAAGGAGGAGAAGAUUUCUACAAAGUCAAACUUGUUUCUUCUAUCAUAUUCCAAAACUGUGGCUAAUAGAUUGAAGGAUAAUUGAGGGGUAAUUUCAUAACCUCUAGAUUAGGAAAUGAUUCCUACUUUCUUUGCUUCUUAUAUAUCUUCCAUUUUUGACAAUGUCUCACCUUCUCACUCCAUUUGUCUACACACGAAUGAAUAAUUAGAUUUAUUAAAAGUUAAAGGAAGUCGGACAUUGAUAUUUUUAGUUUUGCUUUUCAGGUAAAGAAGCCAUUUUUUCACCUGCUACUGCUAUUUACGGGAUCAAGUCUAGAUUUAAAACUCCUAUUAUAAGUUGCGUGUGAAAGUGUGUUAUAUGGUGAGGUUUGGAAUUAUCUUCUCUGUUGCAUAUAUCUAUGGUUGUUGACAUCAGACUGGUUGACUGUUUGUUGUUUUCUUCAAAUUACAAUAAAACGGUUGCAAGAUAAGGUAUGGGAAGAAUGGGAGGUGUCUGGAUUAGCAAGGUACCAAACCCCUCCUCCAUUUUAAUUUCCUUCAAUCUAAUUUAAUUACACAUUCAUUUUUGUCUUUUCAAACAUAAAAUUGCAGAUAAGGAGACGUCACUGACCUUUGCUCCGACAUAGCUUUGGUUUGCGUUGACCGUUCCUAUAUUUAUUUGUUAGCUUUGCUUUCUCUUUCUAUUUUUUCCCUACUUAAGUCUGCUUGAGUCUCCCUUUUUUUAUAUGUACUUUACCUAAUAUUAGAAGCCAAGGCAGGACCGUGCUUUUCUAUUGUAAAAUUCAUCACUUCGUUUGUCAAUGUUCAUUUCUACUCUUCAGUUUACUUAAAUAUAAUUGUUUGAUAUAUAUUUGAAUAUGAAGAAUAUAAUCUUUUUAAGAUAUACAUAUUUUAGAAAAAAUUGAAUAUAUGUAUGUCGGACACAUUUCCCGUUUCAACAUAUUUCCUUAUUUUAUGCAAGUCGAUUGGUAUUCAACAUACUCUUUUCCGUCAUCCUUAACUCAAUAAUCUUUGUUACGAUAUCAUAUCAGGUUUAAUAGUGGCAGUUCAUCCCCACACUUCCAAAGCCAAAAAUAGGAAAAAAAUUAAAUGUUACCAACUAAUAACACUUUCAAAUUACAUUGUCUUACAAAAAAAAAAAGAUACAAUUUGAAUUUUAGCAAGCUAUGCUUUAUAAAAGGCAAAGGAAUCUAAGGGAAUCUUUCAUUCAAGAUUUUGUAUCCUCAUGCCUUGCUUCUUAUAUCUACCAACAAUAUCUUUGUGAUAAUAAACUAAAAAAAAAACUGCAAAUCCAACUUAAUCGAUUGGAAAUUUCACAUCCACUUAAUUAUUUCAAAUGAUAUUUAUUCAAUAAGUUUAAAUUAAAAACUGUAAGAAUUUUCAUUUAUCUUUUAUUCAAAAUGUAAAUCGGAUUCAAUGAAAAUAUUGAACAUAUAAUGUGUGCACAUGGAAAUGUCCAAAUCGUUAAAUAUAGGGUCGACAUGAGAGAAAUCUCCUAAUGCCCAACGUUAAAUAUUUAUAAAAUUCAAUAUGAUCCUAUUAUUUUCGUUAUAAAACUCAAUAUCUUAUUCGGAUUAGGAUACAAGCGAAUAACAGAUAACUAUUUGUCGUUCAAGGUAUGAUAAAAUCUCAGUAGCUAAGAUAUGAAUGUUGCAAAAUACCAUACAAAAUCACAGCCACAUUUGUUAGUAUGGCUAUUUUGGGUAAUCAAAGGAAAAAAAUGUUAGCUGUUGAGCAAACAAGGUGAACAGAUUAGAUAUUCCAAUUACGUUCAAGCACUUGACAAAUCCUUUCUGCAAUGGCUUCAGCACGCAUCCUAGGACCUUCAUCAUCUGCAAAAAUCGACCAUUUCUAACAACUAAGCUAACAUCACACAUGAUAAUAUAUGUAUAUAACAUAUAUAGAUGAUGAUUAUGUGGAUUAAAAGCUAUGUUAGUUUGACUCAAUACAUGACCAUGGGACAUGCACGAUUCUUCAAUAACGANNNNNNNNNNNNNNNNNNNNNNNNNNNNNNNNNNNNNNNNNNNNNNNNNNNNNNNNNNNNNNNNNNNNNNNNNNNNNNNNNNNNNNNNNNNNNNNNNNNNUUAAAUACAUCAAUAUCUAACAUUUACAUCUGAGUUCGAGUAAAGUAAAACAUGUCAUUCUACCUAAACAUGCAAAAUAUCCAAGACUCUUGACGAAUGUUAGAUACAAAUAUGUAGAAUGUACCCAAAAUACCCAUCUCGAACUCAGUAGAGAAAUAUCUAGCACUCAAAAGGCACUAGCUUCAACCAAGAACAAGGAAGUUUCUUCAAAGGCUUGAUAUACUUUCUUCACGGCCAUAUAUAUGUGUGCAUAUACCCAUAUUAAGGACGAUUGUUUUGGCAAAGAGGAUGAGAAGAUAGAAAGAAAACCUUUAAUCCAAUGACAAUAUUUGAUUAUAACAACAUGACACAUAUAAUUGUGAUUAAAAUUGUGGUCACAAACAUGUUUGCAAUCACAUCAUGUUAACGAAUACUAUCGCAAUCAAUUGCAAUAAAUAUCCACAACAAGAAGAGCGAAAAUCCUAAAAACAACAAAGAUAAUACAUUACAGCUGUUAAAGAAUUUUCAAUAACAUAUAUACCUGCAAGAUUUUCAGUGAUGACACAACAAAGUUCACCACCAGACAACUUCCCGAUCUAAUGAAAUUUUCAAACAUAUCAUAAGUUUCAAGAUCAACUGAAACAUGCGAAUACUGUUGGUGUUAAGAGGUAACAGCAAGCUGAUUUGAGCUUGCUUAUACAGCAAGGCUCGAGGCUUGCAGAAGAAACAAUUGAAGAAAGAAACAGAAAAUGAAGCUUGCGAAUGGAAAACAGAAAAGAAAGAAAAAGUUUGAAUGAAAACAAGCUAAAAUUUUCAUUAAUUGUCAAAGAGGCAUAAUGCCAUUAUAUAUAUGAGUUAACAAUCACAAAAUAAACAAGUUACUACCUAAACUUAGACCUAACACCAUUAAUUUACAUUGAACUUGUUAAAUUUGCUUGAGUACAUAAACAAGUCACCUAAACUUGUCAUUCAGCACCUAAUUACAUCAAAAUGCAGCUACCAACUAAGUUUUAUUCAAACUAGAAUACAAAACAUUCAUUAAAGAAACUAAAUGAAACAAAAUAACUUCAGUUUGCUGCUUGAAGCACGUUCUCUGCAUGGCCACCUUGGCUGCUGCAUGGGGGCUGACUUCAACACUCUUCCUCAGCUUCUAUGCUGCAGACUCCUAGUUGCUUUCUUAGGCUUAGAAAUCUCGUUGUACCAAGAGACUUUGUAAAGAUAUCAGCAAUUUGAUUUUCAGAGCUGCAAUAAAUCAGCUCGAUCUCUCGAGCUUGUUCCAGUUCUCUUAUCACAUGCAACUUUAUGUUGAAGUGUUUUGUUCUGCCAUGAAAGACUGGAUUUUUGGCAAUUACAAUAGCUGACUUGUUGUCACAAUAAAUCUUGGUUGCUUCAUUAAAUUCAAAUCAGUGAGGAUUUUUCUUAGCCACAUAGCUUGAUUAACAACAUUAGCAGCUACUACAUACUCUGCUUCUGCUGUUGAUUGAGCCACCAUUGUUUGUUUUCUUGAACUCCAACAAAUCAUAGUUGAGCCAAGUGUAAAAGCAUAACUAGAAGUGCUCUUCAUAUCAUCUUUUGAACCAGCCCAAUCGCUGUCAGUGUAGUCAAUCAAUUUCAACUCUUCAGCCUUUUUAAAAUGUAUUCCAUGGUUCAAGGUACCUUUGAUGUACCUUAGCACCCUUUUUCCUGCUUUGUAAUGCUGCUGAUUACAACAAUGCAUGAAUAUUGACAGCAUGCUUACUGCAAAUAGAAUAUCAGGUCUCGUUGCUGUCAAAUAUAACAAGCAGCCAACAAGGCUUCUAUAAUCUGUUCCACUGAUAGGUUCAUGAUCUUCUUGACUCGAUAGUUUCAUGCCAACAACCAUAGGUGUGCUGGUUGGCUUGUAGUUCUCCAUUGAAAAUUUGGCUAGAACUUUCAAAGCAAAUGAUUUCUGUCCCAAGAAGAUUCCUUCAUCUGCUUGAUUAACUUCCAUUUCUAGGAAGUAAGUCAUCAAUCCCAGGUCUGACAUUUCAAACAUCUCCUUCAUUUUUGUUUUAAAAUCAGCCAACCUGAGUUUGUCUCCUCCAGUCACUAAAAGAUCAUCAACAAAAAGUGACACAAUGAGCUGUGUUUCAGCUCGAUUCUUUUUAACAUAGAGAGUUGGCUCACUGGCACUUCUUUCAAAUCCCAAACUGACCAGGUAUGAGUCAAUUCAAGCAUACCAGGCUCUAGGAGCCUGUUUCAGGCCAUACAGGGCUUUUCUUAGCCUAUACACCAAAUGUUCUUUACCAGGCAUUGUAAAUCCUGGAGGUUGCUCGAUGUACAUCUCCUCUUCCAACAAUCCAUUGAGAAAUGUAGACUUUACAUCCAUUUGGUGAAUUGUCCACUGAUUCUGAGCAGCUAGAGCAACCAGUAAUUUGAUUGUAUUGAGUCUGGCUAUUGGAGCAAAUGUUUCCAUGUAGUCCAGACCAUAUCUUUGACUGAAGCCCUUCAUAACUAGUCUAGCUUUCAACUUAUUUAAGCUUCCAUUUGCAUUGUGCUUUACUCGAUAGACCUAUUUUACACCAAUGAUCUUUCUGUUAGCAGGUUUCUCAACCAACUCCCAUGUUUGGUUCUUCUCGAUCAUGUUGAUUUCAUCAACUAUAGUGUGCUUCCAGCCUUCAUCUGCCUCAGCCUCUUCAAAACAGGUAGGUUCUGCUAUAGCAACCUGUGCCCUCUCAUAAAUCUCAUCUAGGGACCUUGUUCCUCUCACAGGUACAUCAUCAAUGUCUAUUUCAGGACUAAGCUGCUCGAAUUUAGCUUGAUUAGGCACCAGGUCUUCUGUAAGAGCUUCUAGCUCAUUCUUUUCCCAAUUCCAGCAAGCCUUUUCAUCAAAGAUGACAUCUCUGCUUACCUGGAUUUUGCUUGUGAGGGGAUCUAGGAUCCUGUAGCCCUUCUUAGUUGAGCUAUAGCCCACUAGGAUACUUGGUUGAGCCCUUUUUGCAAGCUUGUCCCUUUUUACUGCUGGUAUUUGUGCAUAGCACAGGCAACCAAACACCUUCAGAUGUGCCAAGGAAGGCUUGAAUCCAAACCAAGCCUCGAAAAGUGUCUUGGAAGCAAGAGCUUUGGUAGGAAGCCUAUUCUGGAGGUAGACAGCAGUGUUUACUGCCUCAGCCCACAUGCUCUUGGGCAGUUUCUUCUCAAACAGGAGGCAUCUGGCCAUAUCCAUCAGGCUUCUGUUCUUCCUUUCAGAUACCAUAUUCUGCUGAGGUGUGUACACAUUUGUUAGCUAGUGUUUGAUCCCAGCAUCACUACAAAUGGCUUGAAACUGAGCUGAAGUGUACUCAGUGCCAUUGUCUGACCUUAUCGAUUUUAGCUUGCAGCUUGUUUCUGUCUCAACAGUAAUUUUAAACUUUACAAACACUUGAGCUACCUCAGACUUGUGUUUCAAGAAGAAAAUCCAGCAAAACCUUGUAAAAUCAUCAAUGAAGAGGAUGAAAUACCUGUUUUUGCUAAGUGAUUCAGUCCUCAUCGGGCCACAUACAUCAGAGUGCACCAGCUGUAAUCUUUCAGUGGCUCUCCAUGCUGAAUUUGUAAGAAAUGGCAAUCUUGCCUGUUUUCCUAUCUGGCAAACUUCACACACAUCAUUAUGCUCCACUGAGUUGGUGAAGUUCUCAGCUAGACCCUCUUUGGCUAUUUGAGCUAUUGAUUUGAAAUUGGCAUGUCCAAGCCUUUGAUGCCAGAGCUUGGAAUUAUCAACAGAGGCUGUGUAUGCUGACUUUGAGUAAUUUGGCCAAUGAACCUCAAAGCAUUUGUCAGUCAUUGUGACUGUCAUAAGGCUUGAUCCACUUGGAUCAGCAAUGUGGCACUGUUUGUCCUUGAACACAACUGAAUAGCCUUUCUCGAGCAAUUGAGCUAUGUUGAGAAGGUUUCUGUCAAUCUCAGGCACCAACAGGACAUUUGAGAUGAUUUUGUUGCUUGUAGGAGUGCAUAACAUCACCUCUCCUCUUCCUUCAACCUUUAUAAACUGACCAUUUCCAACCUUGACCUUGGUUUUGCAACUUCUGUCCAAGGUUUUGAACAAGGAGGCAUCUGGUGACAUGUGGUUGGUGCAGCCACUAUCCAACAACCAGCCUUUAGAGCAUUUCUUCUCAGCAGCUAAGCAAGACACAGCAAAUACCUGCUCUUUUUGGUCACUACUGUCUUCAACCACUCGAGCUUUUUGCUUUUGACUGUUGAAAUUGGUUCUGCCUUGGUUUGGUUUUGUUUUUACACACCUUUUCGACAUGGCCCUUCUUUUUGCAGUGUUGGCAUACUACAUCUGGUCUAAACCAGCAUCUGUCUUCUGGAUGUCCUGGUCUCUUGCAAUAUCUGUAAGGCUGGUCACUGCUCCUUGCAGCAUCAGGCUUAGGCCUAUUUUUCCAGGGCCUUUUACCUCUAUGAGCAUUGAUGCUCGAGGCUUCUCUGGCCUUGGCUUGAAAUGCACCUUCCUGGUGAUCUUCAGCUCUGCUAGCUCUUCUUUGUUCCUGAGCAUAGAAAGUGUUAAUCAGCUCAGUCAAAGAGAUGCUAGCAAGGUCUCUUGAGUCCUCUAAGGAGGAUAUCUUUGCCUCAUGUCUCUCAGGCAAAGUGGAGAGGACUUUCUUCACGAUUCUUGCCUUAUCAAAGUGCUCACCUAGGAGCCUUAUGCUGUUAACCACUGCCAUGAUUCUAUCUACAUACUGCUUCAUUGUUUCUUCUUCCCUCAUCUUCAGAUUCUCAAAGUCUCUCCUCAAAUUCAACAGUUGUUGUUGCCUUGUCCUUUCUAUGCCUUGAAACUCCUCCUAAAGCUUAUUCCAGGCCUGUUUUGGAGUCUCAUAGGCCAUAAUUCUGGUGAAUAUGACAUCUGACACACAAUUCUGGAUGUAGGACAUAGCUUUGUGCCUUUUGGUCCUCUCAUCAGCGUGUUGUCUGAUCUGAGCUACUGUGAGAUUGGCCCUCAGUGGUGCUGGCUCAACAUCUGUGUUAACAACUUCCCACAGAUCAAAGGCCUGCAAGUAAGUUUUCAUCUUAACCAGCCAUACGUGGAAGCCUUCUCCAUUGAAGACUGGUGGGGCUGCUGGUGAAAAUCCUGAAGAAGCCAUCCUGGUUUUUUGGUUUGAUAUAUCAGGUCCACUAAGACAAGGGCUCUAGAUACCAAUUCUUGGUGUUAAGAGGUAACAACAAGCUUGUAAUGCCCAAUUUUAGCCCGAGCCCAAAACCAAAACAUACAGUCCAUUACAAAUAAAAUUAAUUACAGGCCCAAAAUACCCAACAGGCCCUAAUUAAGAAACCCUAGCCCAAAAACAUAAUUUUUUUUCAGUACCAAACCCUAGCCCCCCUAAGCAUGCGCCGCAUCCCCUUGUCGGCCACUCCCUCGCGCCGCCCCCACCAGUCCCGUCGCCAGGCCGCUCGUGCCGCCCAAGGUGCCCCUCUGUCACACUCCUUUUGACCGAAAUAGCCACCUCCAGACAGAAAAGCAAAAAGAAGAACAAUUAAAAUGAUAGCAAGGGUAGAAGAACAGUGAUAGCAGUUAAUCUUGGCUAUAAGAGCCACGGAAAUAUCAAUGUAAAGGGAGGACAGAUUUUUAGAGUUUGAAAAAAGGGUUCCGAAAAUUUAAAAACAGAAGAAAAUAAAAAAAUAGAUCUAUUCGAAAAGCAAUUUGCAGUUUCUAUUUUGUUCUCUUUUCUUUUGUUUUGAUACAAAAAACAACUUCAAGAACUCAAAAAAGAAAAAAACAGAUCUAAAAUUUAACAUUCCAAGGUGAUUUUAUUUUCGUUUAUAUUUCUUUUCCUUUUGUAUUUAUUUAUUUUUUUCUUUUUCAAAAGAACAGUUUAUAUUUGUGCAAAAAUCAUACAUAGAAAAAUAUAUAAAAAAAUUACCUUUUAAAUUUUUCAGGCCACCGUGCACGGUGGCCGGCGCGGCGGUGGAGCGGCGGCGCUGUUCACCGGAUUCUGGGCAGUGCCCAGAAUGGGGGAGAGGAAUUGAGAGCAUUUUCAGAAAUUUUUUGGAGAAAAGAAGGGAAGAAUGAAAAUUAAAAAUAAAAACCAACUUAAAUAGGCCUCCAAAACGACGUCGUUUUGGGCAGGCCUCUCAGGCACCAAAACGGCGUCGUUUUGGCUUUGACCCGAUUCGCCCGACCCGCUCCAGGCUAGGAUCCGCGUGUUUUUAGCGGAAGGGCUAAUUGCACUUUCAGCCCUUCCGCUUUAAAAUAAUUUUACAAUCAAGGCCCCUUUUGUUUUUUUAAAUUCGCACAGUAGUUUAUUAUUUUUACAAUUUGGUCCUAUGAUGCUGUGCGUUUUGGGAAAGAGGGAAAAAUUGCUCUCUUGAUCCCUUCUUGUUGUUUGCGCGUUCAGCUUUGUCCUUCCUCUUUUAUUUAUUUAUAGAUUUGGCCCCAAAUUUUGUUUUAAUAUCUAAUUUAGCCCUUCUUUGUUAUUUUGUUUGUUUUAUUAUUAAAUUAAUAAAUGAUAUGUUAUUAUUAUUGUUAUUUAUUAUUAGUUUUUAUUUUAUAUUUAUUUAUUUAUUCAUCAUCAUUAUAUAAAUUAGUUUUGCAUUACCUUUUAUAUAUUAUAUUAUAUUAUAUAUAUUAUAUAUAUUUUUUAGUUUUUUUAGUUUUUAUAUAUAUAUAUUUUUAUCUUACUGUAUCUUUAUUAUUUAUCAUUUACUUCAAGCUUUUCUAUGUUUUCUAAAUUAUUAUUAUUAUUAUUAUUAUUAUUAUUAUUAUUAUUAUUAUUAUUAUUAUUAUUAUGUUUAUACUCUUUUAAUUUUAAAUUCUUGUUAUAUAUUUACAUAUACAAACGCAUACUUUUUAUAAUAUAUAUGUACAUAUUUUAUUUUAUUUUAUUUUAUUUUGUGUGUAAAUAUAUACAUUUUCCCGAUGCAUAUACACAUACAUUUUAAAGUUAUUAUAAAUAUAUUUUAUAUUUCAUUUUUCAUACUUACACAUACCUAUAUCUAUUUCUACGUAUUUUAUUACACAUAGAUAUACGUAUACAUAUUUUUAAAUAUUUUUUAUAUUUUCAUAAUUCUAAAAUAUAUAUAUACAUGUAUUUAUAUAUUUUUAUUUCUUUUAUGGUUUCGUUAUUUCGCGCUGUGUUUAUUUUAUUUUAUUUAUUCAUGCCCACUUUCAUUCGAAUAGUGUAUUUGCUUAUUCUUUUGCAUGUUUAAUUCGUUUUUUAUUUAUUUAUCUUUUAUUUGUUGUUACUUGUAUUAUUCAUACUUACAUUAUCGAAUUUAUUAUUGUUUUGUUAUGAGCAUUAACAUCAUGUUUUAUUUCUACUAUUACACGUUAAAUUAUUUUUCAUUCAAUGUAUAAAUUAUGAUUUUUGAAUAAACAAAAUUUCGUGUUUAGAUUUGAGAAAGUCGUACCCUAACUUACUAGGUUUUGAUUUUCACAAUGAAUAUAAAUACGUGGAUCUUUUCAAACUCAAAUUUUCAACGAUCUCGGGAUUUAUAAAAGAUCGUAUCCUAACUUACUGGGUAUGAUCCCUUUUUUAAACCCGAGAUAAUUGAAUAGCUUUUAAAUAAUUUCUUCGGCAUUUAUUCUUGAAUCGGGAAUUUAAAGACAUUGUGUCCUAACUUACGGGAUAUAAUUCUUUUUCUUGAUUAUCGUGAAAAUGCCCUUCUCUCGAAAACUUUUAGCAUUUUAAUAAAAGAUCGUAUUUUUAAAUUUCUUCAAAGUUCUCAAUUUUCGACAUUAAGACAUUAAGUAAUCAACUAGGUACCAAUUUUGGGCGUUACGAGGGUGCUAAUCCUUCCUCGUACGUAACCGACUCCCGAACCCGUUUUCUAAAUUUCGUGGACCAAAAUCGUUGUUUUAAUAAAAUUAAACUGUUUAUUAAAAACAACCAGUUUUCGAGGCGAUCCAAUCACACCUCGUUAAAAAAUGAUUGGUGGCGACUCCCACAUUCGAUUUCAUUUUUUUAAAAACCCAAGUCGAAUCCGUUUUCACCCAAAAAAUGGUGUCAACAAAGCUGAUUUGAGCUUGCUUAUAUAGCAAGGCUCGAGGCUUGCAGAAGAAACAAUUGAAGAAAGAAACAGAAAAUGAAGCUUGCGAAUGGAAAACAGAAAAGAGAGAAAAAGUUUGAAUGAAAACAAGCUAAAAUUUUCAUUAAUUGUCAAAGAGGCAUAAUGCCAUUACAUAUAUGAGUUAACAAUCACAAAAUAAAUAAGUUACUACCUAAACUUAUACCUAACACCACUAAUUUACAUUGAAACUUGUUAAAUUUGCUUGAUUACAUAAACAAGUCACCUAAACUUGUCAUUCAGCACUUAAUUACAUCAAAAUGCAGCUACCAACUAAGUUUGAUUCAAACUAGAAUACAAAACAUUCAUUAAAGAAACUAAAUGAAACAAAAUAACUUCAGUUUGCUACUUGAAGCAUGUUCUCUGCAUGGCCACCUUGGCUGCUGCAUGAGGGCUGACUUCAACAGAUACCAAUUAUGAUAAGAAAUUAAAUUAAGGAUUUUCUACUGCAAGCCUACCACGAAAACAUAAUUUUUAUUAGGAUCAAAGGCGUAGCCCAUCAUGGCAGCAUUAUUGAGUCCAUUUUCAGAGGAAAAUCCUGAAACAUGUUACAGGCAAAUAUUAAGAAAAACAAUGCACAAGCAUAAGUACAAAAACAUAGCAUGCAAGAAAUCAAUACUUGAAAGGAUUAAAAUCACUGCUAACCUAAGACAUUGAAUCUAGCACCACUAGGAAACAUCCAAAAUGAUCCUUGUCUUUCAAUAUUGAGAUACAUACGUCCAAGUCUGCCAUGUUGCGCCAAACGGGAAUUCAUCAACCUCUUGAGAGCCUAAAGGAUGAAAAGUUCAAGUCCGAGUUAUAUAUAUACAGACACACACACAGAUAGACAUGAAGAAAGUGGGUUAAUGGUGUAUUAUUUAAGAAAAGAAAAAGUUGAAAUCUUGAACCUCUAAAUAUUGGGUAACAGCUAGUGUUAAAAGUGCAUAAAGUUCUGCUAUUAUCUACAAGAAACAAUGGAGGAAUCACAUACAUUGUUUAUAUUCACUUUUCUUGCUACACAAGCAAGCUGAGUCCAUAAACAAAGGCAUACCUUUUUCUCCGUUUUUAAAUGGUUUUCCUGUUUUUGGCUGCUUUUUAUAUUAAGAGAAAGAGAGUGUGUGAGACCUCGUCAUCCUCAAGGAGUAAGUGGUCAAGCACGAAGAUGAUGGGAAGACCACGAGUCUAUGGUGGUCGAUCCAUGAGUUGAUUAUGAGUAGCUUCAUGUUAUGAAGUAAAAAUGUUAGCUAAGUUAGUUGAGUGCUGUGUUUUAGGGCUGAGGGCUUAAUGAAACUAUAAGUUUUGAUGUUGAAUGAAAACGGUGUGUAUUGACGGUUUGUUACAACUGCUCGAGGAACAGCCCUAUAACAGACUUUGUAACUGCCAAUUCGCAGCCAUAAUAGAAACCGGCAUGGGAAAUGAGCAGAUAUGCAAUUUUGUGAAGGAAAUCAAUUCUUUCUUCUUCCUCGAUUCUCCUUCUCUUCUCUUUUUCUUUCUUCCUCUAUUCUGUUGAAAUUAUGCAUCACUUCACCAGCAUUCAUCAUUGUGGACGUAUCUGAUCUUCAGUCUCUGGUUUACUGCCCAUGUAAAGUUAUGGAAAGGAAUGCAAAUUUAAAAGGAUUUCUUGCUAUAGUCUAUGCAAUUUCAUGUGUGCGUGAAAGGAGAUGAAGAUUAAUAGAGUAAUACUGAUAUACCAACAAUUCAUUAAUUGAAGUACUAUCAAUAUUAUCAACAAGUAACAGAAUUAAGUGAGUAUACUAAUAUAGUCUAGAAUUAAGUGAGUAUACUAAUAUAGUCUAGAUUUAUAAUGAAAUACAAAAAUAUUUCAAAAAUUGUACUCAAAGAAAGUNNNNNNNNNNNNNNNNNNNNNNNNNNNNNNNNNNNNNNNNNNNNNNNNNNNNNNNNNNNNNNNNNNNNNNNNNNNNNNNNNNNNNNNNNNNNNNNNNNNNNNNNNNNNNNNNNNNNNNNNNNNNNNNNNNNNNNNNNNNNNNNNNNNUUUAAUAUCCAUGAUUGUAAUUAAUCUAGACUUAUUCUACCAAUUAAUCAAUUUAGUCCACUUAUCUUUCGACCUGGUGGAUCUAAAUGGGACAAUUGAAUUAGUUCUGGAUAAAAUCUCCUUUCAAUCUCAUCUACCUAAAUUUCCAUCUAGAGUCAUCAAUUUGAUCCAUUUAAUCAAUUCAAAACCUUAAAUUAAAUUAACUAUUCCCACAUCAAUUAAGCAACUUUCUUAAAAAUUUAGUUAAGACCCAUUCUAAUGAUAUCAGACCCACUUAAUCCGUAAACCAUCAAUAAAGUUAAUGAUAAGAACGAAUAGAGUUGAGGGAUGCUCAAUAAUUUGUGGAGAUCCUCAUAAUGAAAGCGUGAAAUAAAAAAUAAAUAUAUUUUUAUUAAAAUGAGUCAGAAGCGAGUGAAAUGAAAAAGAAAGGAAAACGGAUAAGGCUCCGAUUAAAGUUAUUUAAACAAGUAAAUAUAUUUUUAUCCAAAUUUAUAAUUUAUUAUAUUUAUCUGUAAUUCUCACUUUAAAAAAGCAUUCCAAAUAUGCUUCCUCACCUUAUCAUUUUUGCUUUUUUUCAAGCGCCCUUAUAAUUUUUGUUAAUCUUUCUUUUCCCUUAAUUAAAGCUUGAUGACUUAUAUUAUAUAUAUCCGUUUUAAAGAAAAUGUCACUGAACUAUUGCUUUCGUUUUGUUUUGGUUAUUAGAUUAUUAAUUUUUUUGAUUUAGUUACUAAAUUUUUCGAAAUCAAUUAUUUUGAUCACUUUCCCAUUAAUUGUCAUUAGAUAAGUGAGGAAAAUUACUUUCUCAUUAAUUGUCAUUAGAUAAGUGAGGAAAAGCUAACACAGAUUUGUUUUAUUGUUCAAAUUAAUCCUUAUAUAUUAAAUAAAAAUUCAAUUUAAUCCUUGAAUUAAACUAAAAAUUCAAAUAAACUCAGAAUACCACAACUUUUUAUUAUAUAUAUUUCUUUUUCCAAAUAAUAAAUUUAAAUUUAUUAUGAUUAUCACAACUUUUAUUUCAAUGUAACUACUAUCAUAUAUUUUCACUUUUUAAAUUGAUUAUAAAUAUUAUUUAAAUAUUAAUUUAAUAAUAUGAUAAAAAAAUAAAGGAUAUUUUUAUCUGUUCAAUUUUUUUUAAACUUAUGCUUUUAUAGAUAUUAUAGAUUAUAGGAAUAGGGUCUAAUGGCCAAAAAGAAAAAUUAUGUACCGUCUAUGUGAAGGCAUUAUAAAAGGGAUCAUCAGAGUAUAAUGAUUAGUAUUAGGUAAAGUGAAAGUGAAUUGAUUAAGUCCUCCAAUCAUUUUACUUUUAAAUAAAAAAAAAUUAAACAAAAAAACUCUACUUUUGUUCUACCUACCUUUCUGUUUGUGUUCUCAUUCUAUUAAUUAAGUACUGCUUCUUGCAAUUGUUUUCCCAGCAAGAUUGCGGCACACACAUCUUGAAAUCCAAAUUCAAGAUUUUAAAGAAUUUUCUUAGCUCGAUCACUUUUAUGGCUUUUUCUGCUGUUGCAUCUGCAGUGCAACAAUUGGCAACCUGCUAACUGAGGAAGCCAUAUACCGAUGGGGCGUGGAGGAGCAAGUUGAUCGUCUGCAAACAGAGCUCAAUUGGAUGCAAAGAUACUUAAUGGACGCAGAGACAAAACAAUCAAAGGAUGAAAGGAUUCGUCUUUGGGUUGCUGAAAUCAAGGAUUAGGAAGGUACGAAACACCUCCACUUUAAUUUCCUUCUGCUUAAAUUAGAUGUUUUAAGUUAAUUUUUAGUUUUGAACAUGUUAAAUUGCAGGAUAAUGAGACGCCACUGACCUUUAUUCGGAUGUAGCAUUGCAUUUACAUGUUUGGUUUGCAGUGACCAUUCAUAAAUUUUGCUGUGACUACCCUGUUGCUAGUUCUUUUUUCCUACUUCGAUCUGCUCAAGUCUUUUAUGAUAUAAUUAAAUGUAAAAAUAUGUAAUAGUAGAAGCCAAGACAGGAUAUUGUAAAAUUGAUCAUUUUGUUUUUAAUGACCAUUUGUUCUCAUCUUUUUUCAUUUUUCAUAAAUGUGUCCAAUAUAUAUUUAUUGAAUAUAUUUAUGCUGGACACAUAUCCUAAUGUGGUACACUAAAUCUGAGUCAUAUUGUGCAAUAUUGGUGAAUUACUAGUUGGUGCAGAAUCAUAUACAUCGAUGUUCUGUCAUUUGUUGAAGAUAAAAGAUCCAAAGCCUCCAUUAUUAAAAUGAAAAAAAGAAAGAAAAUUGGAUAUUCGUUUCUUUCUAGAUUUAGAAUAUAGAUAUUUGUAAUAUUGAGAUGAUAAACGAUUAAUAAAUGGAUUAAAUAGGAUCUAAUGUCUAAUUACAAUCCAAGAGGAACAGGCUCCUGCCGCCAUAAAAAAUUCCAUAAUUACUUAUUUUAUUGUAUUUUUUGAUAACACAUUGAUUAUUGCAUGGAACAUUGGUUAAGAACAAAAUAGGAACCAAGAACAAACAAUGUCUUCAAACAUAUUAAAAUGACAGCUCCAAAUCCUUACUUCAAUUAUUGUUGUGUUGGGUUUAUUUUGGAUUAGCUAAUGGAAAUAAUUGAAGCUCAGCAUGACAGCAAAUCAGGUUCUUUUUCUUCUUCCUCUGUCCUUUCUCUCUAUUUAGAUACAUGUUCAUUUCGUGUUUAUUGCAGAUGUUGUCUGAAUGAUUUCUAUGAAUAUUAAUGGCAGCAAAGCUGAAACCGUAAAAUAAUGAUCCAGUAAAGUUGGUGUUUCAGUUUCUAUUUAAAUCGCAAACAACUUCCCUAUUAAUCAAACAAAUGCUCUAAACUUGAAUGUCAUGAACAUGUCAAAAAUCAUACCUUGUAGUCAUGUAUGAAUGUGAGGAAAAGUGAAGAACAGAGAACCACAGGCCACACCUGUCAUCAAUGUGUUAUAACAACAUCCUUAACAUCAUAAGCAAGCUCUUUAAUAACAAUGAAAAUUAACCAUAAAACAAAAUUGAAGGGAACUUUAAAAUAUUUUUUAAUAAUAACUUGGGAAGUACUUUAAAUGUGAAAAUUGGGUGUUUACCCAAAUGAUGAAUGGAUGUCUCCUAGGUAAAACUCCCACAAUCUAAUGGUUACAAAUUAUAUAAGUGUACAAUCGGAUUGUGGUUUCUAGAAUGUUUUAUAAACUAAUAAAUUAAAAAUUAUUUGGUGAAUUAAUAAAAUAUAAGUGUUCAAUAUAAUUGUAUAAUUAAUAUUUUUGGGUUCAUCUAUUUUUACUAUGUGCUUUUUUAAAAAAAAAAAAUUUUGGUUUAACUAUUUUUACAUUUCUUUUAUUUACUGAAAUUCAUUUUUAAUUUUCACUAUUCUUUUAAAUUUAUUUUUAAUUUUUUAUACAAAUAAUAGAAUCGAUAUGAAAAUGAAAGAGUUAAGGAAAAACAUAGUUAAACAUUGUGCAAGGCUUCCAUUAGCCAUUAUUGUAUUGGGAGGAAUUUUAAUGUGUUAACUUUAAGUUUCGAUAAUUUAUCUCUCUAUCUAAGACCAUGUUUCCUCUAUUUAAGUAUACAUAUUUUUUUAAAAUAUAUUUUCAAUUUUUUGGAAAAUAUAUAUUUUUAAUAUUUUUAGUAUUUUUGAUGUAUUUUUUUAAAAUUUAUAUGAACCGGACCGCGUUUUAACAUUUUUAUCCGGACCGAACUUAGAAAAAAUUUUAGAUCCAUUUUUUAUGCCAAACCCAAGUCUAACAAAUGGACCUAAAAUUUUAAUUAGGCACGGCUAUGAACACCUCUAAUUAUUUGUAGCUAAAAUUCCCUGUAAGUUCAAUACAAUUUACUAAAAAUUUCAGUUGAUUUACUUGUUAUAUUCAUCACCUAAAUAAAUCAACAAAUAAAUGACGAAUUAUCCCUCUAAGCUGCAAUAUGAACCUUCCAUCAAUUGUCUCUAGGUUCAGUCAUUUUAUUACAUAAGUAUUCUUAAUUAAAAAAAUAAGGAAAAAAUGUAAUUUAUUCUAAUUAAUUAUUGAGCAAAAAUAAAUAAAAGAAAUUGUUAGAGCCUCAGUUUGUUCUUCAAUUAAAAUAAAAUAAAAUAAAUAAGGAUAAUAAUUUUUAAAAAUAAAUAAAAAUUAAAACAUGAGAAAAUCAAUAUACAUUUUUUAUACUCACUAGUUUUGUUGUCAAGAACUGAAAAGCACUUCAAUUCCUUGUAUCCGAAUACAUAUCCUUUUAAAAUUUAUCGAAAAAUAUUUAUUUUAAUGUAACUUAAAAGAUAACAGCCUGGAUUUGAUUAUCAAAUUAAAAAUUCAAAUAAGUUUACAAUAUUAUCAAUUUUUUUUAAUUUAUAUAUAUAUUUCCAAAUAAUAAAUUUAAAUUUAUUAUGAUAAUUACACCUUUUAUUUUAGUAUAACUAUCAUGAUAUAUUUUUUUCCAAUUUUUUUAAAAAUUUAUUAUAAUUAUUUGUAAAUAUUAAUUUAAUAAUACCAAGAAAAAUAAAAGAUAUUUUUGUAAAUAUAUAUUUUUUUAAAUUGGUACUUUUAUAUAUAUAAUAUGGAUAGAUUAUAAAUAUACAUUGUACAUGGUGGCAAAAAAAAAUGUUUAUAGGGUAUAUGUAAAGGCCAUAUACUAUGGAUCAUCAAAGUAUAAAGAUUAGUAUUAGAUAAAGUGGAAGUGAGUUGAUUAAGUCCUCCACUCAUUUACCUACGUACUCUUCCUUUUUUCUAAUUAAAUAAGACUGAUUAGAUACUUUUAAAUAAAAUACUUUCCUAGUCUUCCUUUUUUUUUUCCCACUUUUAUUUAGUGUUAGAUAAAGUGGAAGUGAGUUGAUUAAGUCCUCCACUCAUUUUCCUACUCUUCCUUUUUUCUAAUUAAAUAAGACUGACUCUAUACUUUUAAAUAAAAUACUUUCCUAGUCUUCCUUUUUUUUUUCCCCACUUUUAUUUAGUGUUAGAUAAAGUGGAACUGAGUUGAUUAAGUCCUCCACUCAUUUUCCUACUCUUCCUUUUUUUUCUAAUUAAGUAAGACUGACUAUAUACUUUUAAAUAAAAUACUUUCCUAGCCUUCCUUUUUUCCAAUUUUAUAAUCAGCAGAUCAAGAAAGAAGUAUUGAUUUUGGGAAAUUUGUUAGUUUAGUGUUCCUUUUCACUAUUUUUAAAAAGUAUUGUAAAAAUGGUAAUUUUGAGGAGUACUUUUAGAAAGUUUAGUUUAAGAUUUAAGUAUUUAGUAUUACUGUAAAAAAAUACUUUUGAUAAAUAAAAUAUCUAUUUUAGAUAUUAUGUUAUAAAGUAAAAAAUAUGUAUUUAAAUAAUGUUUAAAUUAGUUAAUAUUAUGAUAUCUUAGUAAGAAUAUAAAAAUAAUUUAUUAUAAUUUGUUGUUAAUAUUUUAAUAUAUGAAAUAUAAAUUUUAAUUUUUUUAAGUAACUAAUAUUAAUUAUUCAUAAAAUCUAAUUCGAAUAUAUAAACAAUAUUUUAAAUAAUAAAAUAUGAUCAAUAAAAAUUUAAAUAUAUAUCACAACUUUUUUAUUUUAUAUAUAUUUCUUUUUUCAAAUAAUAAAUUUAAAUUUAUUAUGAUUAUCACAACUUUUGUGUCAAUAUAACUACAAUCAUAUAUUUUCACUUUUUAAAUUGAUUAUAAUUGUUUUUUAAAUGUUAAUUUAGUAAUAUGGUAAAAAAUAAAUGAUAUUUUUAUCAGUUUAAAUUUUUUUUAAAAAUUAUGUACUGUCUAUGUGAAGGCAUUGUACAAGGGAUCAUCAAAGUAUAAAGAUUUGUAUUAGGUAAAGUGAAAGUGAGUUGAUCAAGUCCUCCACUCAUUUUACUUUUAAAUUAAAAAAAUUUUAAACAAAUAAACUCUACUUUUGUUCUACCUACCUUUCUGUUUGUAUUCUCAUUCCAUUAAAUAAGAACUGCUUCCUUCAAUUGUUUUCCCAGCAAGAUUUCUGCACUCGCAUCUUGAAAUCCAAAUUCAAGAUUUUAAAGAAAUUUCUGAGCUCACUCACUAUUAUGGCUUGGUCUGCUGUGACAUCUGCAGUGAUAAAUAUUGGCAAGCUGCUAACUGAGGAAGCCAUAUACCUAUGGGGUGUGGAGGAGGAAGUUGAUCGUCUGCAAACAGAGCUCAAAUGGAUGCAAAGAUACUUAACGGACGCAGAGACAAAACAAUCAAAGGAAGAGAUGAUUCGUCUUUGGGUUGCUGAAAUCAGAGAGCUUGCUUAUGAUGCUGAGGAUGUUGUCGAGGAAUUUGCUCUCAAGAUUGGAUCCGAAAACAAAGGAUGUCUUCCGAGUUGUAUUAAAACAUCAGCCUGCUGUUUGAAAGAGGGAUGGGCACUCCACAAAACCAGGUCAAAAAUCGAGAAAAUCAUAGAAAGAAUCAACGACUUGGUCCGACGACUACAGGCCUACGGAGUAAAGGAAUUAAAGGACAGAGAAGAAGAAUCAAGUUCUUCAACUGAAAGACGAGAAUCAAGGCGGCCUUAUCCACAUAUUAUGGAUGAUAAUAUUGUUGGACUAGUUGAUGAUACCGAGGGAUUGGUCAAAGUUCUUACGAACGAAAGUCGAUGCCAGGUUGUUACAAUAUGGGGCAUGGGUGGUCUGGGAAAGACCACUCUCGCCAAGAAAAUAUAUCACGAUCCUCAGGUUAGAAAUUAUUUCGAGCACUUCGCUUUUGUAUACGUUUCUCAACCAUGCCAGAAAAGAAAAGUUUGGGAAGACAUUCUAUCUGGUUUCAAAACUUUAAAGGACGAGGAUAGGAAGAAAAGAGAUGAAGACUUAGCAGAGAAGUUGUGUAACAUUUUGGAGGUUAAAGAGUGUCUGGUGAUACUUGAUGAUGUUUGGACCAGAGAAGCUUGGGAUAGUCUAAAACCUGCCUUUCCAGUUGCAACGGGCCGUCAUCGCAAAAGCAAGAUAUUGCUCACCUCUAGAAACAGGGGGAUAGUUUCGGAUGCUGAGAUAAGAGGUAAAAUUUUCUUAAUUAGGUAAAAUUGAAUACUCUUAUUCCUUUUAUGGAAAAUAACUAUGUAUAUUAUUUCAGAGUUGAAGUGCCUAAACGAUCAACAAAGUUGGGAAUUGCUUCAAAAGAUUGUAUCUCCUAAAACAGGUAAAUAUACGUAUAGCAAAAUUCUUGUUAUAUGCUAAAUUUAUUUUUCAUUUUUAAAUUUUUUUGACAGUAAUUGAAAUUAAAAAUAUAUAAAAUCUAUUUUAUUUCAAAAUUUCAAAACCUUAAUAUCAAAUAAAUAAAAGAAAUCAAGCCUUUGUAGUUUAUCAAUUAAUGGUACACGCACCUAAAUAUAAUUAAUAGGUAAAUUCAUUAUCUUUAUUAUUAUAAUUUUUUAAUAACUUUGCUAUUAUUUACGGGGAAUAAAUUACAUUAGGAUUAUCUUAAAAGAUAUAGUUUUUAGGCACCAAUAAAAUAGUGUCACAUCGUUAAAUUUUUAAGAUAACAAAGAAUUAUUAUACACUCAUUUAUAUUUAAUAUUUUCUCCAAUUUAAUUUAACUUUAAUAAAAUUAUUUAAAAUAAUUAAUUUUUUAAAUUAUAAACAAACAUCUUUUCUUCUUUUACAAAUUUUAAUCAUUUUGUUUUUUCAUAAGUUAAUGUUUUUUAUUUUUGUGCAACCAAUUUUUUUUUAAAAAAACAGUAAUUUUUGUGCAAUGUUUUUCAUAUCAUUAACACAUAAUUUUGAUAAUUAUUUUAUCCUGAAGCCAAAACUCCGAACCUUGAACUCGAACCCUGAACCUAAAUCUUGAACCCUGAAUCUUGCAGUUAAAGGUUUGGUUUCUAGAUUUAAAGUUCAAAAUUCGAGGUUCAAGUUUAAAGUUUAAGGGUUCAGGGUUAUGGGUUACGAAUUUAGGAUUCAUGGUUUAAGGGUUUGGGGUAGCGAGUUUGGGGUUUUAUAUGUUUGUUUAGUUUCUUAAGCACUUUCAUGCUAUUCUUUUAUAUGUUUUUUUUUCUUAAGAAAUACAAAUUGAUUUUAUAAUUUAAAUUCAGGACUCAAACAUCACUUAAUUAAAAUAAUAAUUAAUCAAUUCUCGUUUUUUUUUUUGCCACAAAAACAUUCAUUCCAGAAAGAAUAACCAGACAUAGGAAGUCUAAAACACUAAACCAGAUAAACUAACAUGAAAAAAGCACAGUAUUCACUAAGCUUAUCCUGGAUCCUUGCAUCAGAAAGAUGGAGGCGCAGGUAAACCAUUCUUAUUAAGAGUAAAGCCAAGAAAGAUGGUAGUUGAUUCGAACAACCAACACAUCUCUUUACGACCCUAUUUAGCAAACCAAUCCGCUAACUUAUUGGCUUCUCGUCUAAUAACAUUGACUUUCAAAGAAGAAAGUUGCAUGACCAGCUUAUCAAAAACCUGAAGGACUAGCCUUAAUCUCCAUCUUCGAUCUUGACUCUUCUCAAUAUUCGAAAAAAUAGUCUGGGAGUCAGUCUUGAUUGUCACAUUGCUCCACUUGUUCUUCAUAGCUAAUUCAAUCCAUCCAACCAUAGCUUUAGCCUCGACAACCUGACAUGAAUCCACUUAAUCCUUUUACCAAUCCCAUCCAGCAUCUUCCCACUUAAAUUUCUGCCUAUUACUCUAAUACCAGCACAAGCUAUCAAGGUGUCAAAUGCCCCAUCACAAUUUAACUUUAACCCAACCUUCUGGUGGUUUCUCCCAAAUAUCAGCACAAGUUUUUGACUUCCUAGUUCGAUCAGAGUUAUUGUUUGAACAGAGGAUCCAUUGAGCAGAUAAGAAUUCAUUCAUGGAGCAAUUAAUCCUUCGAAUAAUUCUCUCCAAACCAAGUUUCACACCUCCAAUUGUAACCUCACACCUAGCUUUGCAGAUGUGCUAGCAAGUGAAAACAAUUCUAACUUUGAAAUCCUCCCUCAUACAAGGCAUUUGUAACAACUUUGAGAACCAUCUGUCAAAUGAUUGAGUUUGAUCAUUUAUCCCUUGAAGACCAAAACAAGCCUCAUACUAUAUUCCCCUAAGAAUAAUAUGUUCAAAGUCUCAUCUUUUCCACGGAUUAAAAUGAGAUGGAAUAGCAUUAUGACACAAUUUCCAUAAGAAAAUUUUAACUUUGUUCGGUACCUGUAAGCUCCAAAUAGCUUUCCAAGUGCUCCUAUCAAUUAAGUGAGAGCUGGAAGGUUGUAAAGAAGACUCAUUUCCAUAGUGCUUUCUCAACUCCUUGUACCCUGACUUCAUCGGAUAUUGACCAACAGCUGUAAACGGCCAUACCAAUUUAUCUUGUUCAUUUGUUUCGUGAAGGGGAACUUUUAAUUUCGCAAUUUCAAUAUCUUCUAACCACAUUGAGAUACUGGGUAAGUCCCAAUUUAGUUGUUCUAAACAAAUGAUCUCAGCAACUCGUGUUGGUGAGGAUCUGUCAAUAUUUCCAGGAUGCUUUAAUUCCCUAUCUUUAACUCCCAGCAAUCAUCUAUCUUCCCAAAUGCAGAUGCUUUCGCCAUUUUGCACUUGCCAAAUCAAAGUCUUCUUUUAAAAACUCUUUCCCUUCAAGAAUGCUACUCCACACCCAUGAUGACCUAGCUCCUUUUUUAGCUUCAAGGAAAUUAGAAUUCGGGAAAUAAAGUCCUUUUAAAAUCCUACCCCAAAGAGCAUCAGGAUCCUGGACUAACUGUCAAGAUUGUUUUGCAAGUAGAGCAAGGCCUCCAAGCUUUUCAAUGAAUACGUCUCUCAUUUUCCUUCUGCUGAAUUCAUUUCCACGCAUAAGUUUUUAGGAAGUUCGAAAAGAUAUCGUAUACAUUGAAGCGCAUGCUACUGCUUUAAUAAGAACCUCCCUUCCCCUUCAAGAUAACGUUUGCUGCUUCCAGCCCUAAAGUUUGGUAAGGACCUUUUUUUUUUUUGGUGAAAGUGAGGACCUUAUCUUUGAUAUGCCUCAAAGUUAAUGUUUUCGAAAGCUCCCACAAAGAAGGGACACCCAAGUAUCAACCUUUCGUUGACCCUUCGGGAGUAUUCACAGUAAAAACAUUGCUUGAUUUAUCGUACUUGACCCUUCGUCCAGAAGCUGCACAAUAUUCUUGAAAGUUCAUCAUUCUACUACAAUUUAACGAAUUAGCUUCCAAAAAGAAUAGAGAUCGUUCGCGAAUAAAAAAUGUGACACUAUUCGAUAAUGACUACCAAGGCUAAUCCCAGAAAUAAAACUAGACUCGACUCUAAGGAUAAGUUUGGAUUGGCAAUUGGGUGCGAUGCGGUGCGUUUAGCCUACUUUUUGUCUCAAGCUACAGUGUUGCUACAGUAUUUAAUCUCACCGCCACCUCUGUUUUUACACUAACCUCAGGUAAACGCACCGCCCAUCCUAACUCACCUUAAGGCUAAUUAUAUGAGAGAGGAUGUUCACAACAAAAAGGAAGAGGUAAGGUGAUAGAGGGUCACCUUCUAGAUGGAUAGAUUUUUCUAUUAGAUUUACCAUUAAUAAGCAAAGUGUAAGAAACAUUCCUCACACACUCCAUUAUCCAAUCAAUCCAUGUUAAAGCAAAUCUCAUUUUUCUUAAAAUAGUUUUCAGAAGUCCCCACUCUACUCUUUCAUGUCGAGCUUCCAAGCAACCUCAUAUUUCUUACCCCUCUUCUUCAAUUUCAAAUGAUGAAAACCUCUUGAGCAAUUAAGAUGUUAUCAUGUAUUUGUCUACCUACCACAAAAGCACUUUGAUUAUUCAUAAUCACUACCCUAGAACUCCUUUCAAUAUCUUCACCAUGAUCUUCGAUAUGAUUUUAUAGGCAAAAUUAUAAAAAUUAAUUAGUCUAAAUUAUGUAAUUAAUUGAAAACAUUUAGUCUUCAGAAUUAAAAUUAUCUUAAUCUCAUUUAAACCCAUCGAAAAUUUCCCUUCCCUAAAAAAAAAACUCUUAAUAGCUUCCAAAACAUCCUUUUUAAUAAUUUCUCAAUAAUUAUGAUAGAAAAUUCCGCUAAAAUCAUUCGCAAAAUAAGAGAUUAAUUUAAUUGUGUUGUAUGCUUAACUUGUACGAUAUAAGUAAAAUCUUAUAAUUUUAUCUCCAAAUUCUCUCAACACAAUUUUCUGACCCUUAUUUAUAAUCUCAUUUGUAUCUAACAGGAUCCAAUUUAAAGUUAAAUAGUCUUUUUUAUAUAAUGAAUUAUAUUUUUAUUCGAAUCUCCUCUUAAAUUAAUUAGAGUCUUACUUAGUAUUGACUGUUCCGUAAAGUAUUCAAAGUUUUCAAAUAGAUUCCUAUUUUUACAGUUCUUUCACGUACUUAAAUUAAUUCCUAAUUUUCCUUACUUUUUUAAAAAUAUUUAUUCCUAAUCUUUUAUACAGGAAAUAUAAUCGAUGUGAAAAUGAUAGAGUUGGGAAAGAACAUGGUUAAACAUUGUGCAGGGUUGCCAUUAGCCAUUGUUGUAUUGGGAGGAAUUUUGGCUACAAAGAAAAAUUCGUUAAUCGAAUGGCAAAAGAUAUCUGACAAUGUAAAAUCAUACUUGAAGAGAGGCAAAAAUCAAGGACCAGAGGAUGUGUUAGCAUUAAGUUAUGAUGAUUUGCCUCCCUAUCUAAGACCAUGUUUCCUCUAUCUAAGCCAUUUUCCGGAGGAUUAUAUGAUAGAUGUGGAUAGAUUGAUUCAAUUAUGGGUUGCUGAAGGUAUUGUGUCAUCAAAGGAAGAAGAAAGAGACGGCGGGGAAAUUGCGGAAGAUGUGGCGGAAUCUUAUUUAAUGGAGCUUGUGGAAAGGUGCAUGAUUCAAGUACGAGAAAGAAAUGUGGCAGCCUCAGAGAUCAGAGCGACCUUAAAGGUCAAAACGAUUCAGAUGCAUGAUCUGAUAAGAGAUCUUUGCUUAUCAAAGGCAAAACAAGAGAAAUUUGUCUUCAUUGUUGAUGGAUCGAAUGCAUCUUCAUUAUCUAUGAUUCGGAAGGUUCGUAGGGUUUCUGUGCAUGAGUCUUUUUUCAUACAAUGCAUUAAAAGUCCAAAUAUUCGGUCACUUUUGUUCUUCAAUCAGUUCUUUCCGGAGGAGGCAUUAGAAAAAUCUUUUCCCUUGGAAGUGUUGAACUACGUUAAAAAACAUUGUGACGAUUGUUGUAAUCCACUAUUUUGGAUUCUUCUGAUUUCGGUAGGUUCUACAAGACGUCUUAAAAUUCGGGAAUUUUGGAGAUACAUGUUCAACAACUUCAAAUUGCUGAGAGUCCUAAACUAUGACAAAGGAAGAACGUCAUAUGGUUUUUGGACCGGGUGGGAUUUACCCAGUGAUAUAGGGAAUCUCAUCCAUUUAAGAUUCUUGAGUCUAAAGGAUCUUGUGUUCUUAUGGCCAAAGUUGCAAUCAUCUCUAGGCAACUUAAGGUGCUUGCAAACCUUGGAUUUAAGAGUUAAUUUUCCCGAAAUUCAUGUACCUAAUGUGAUAUGGAGGAUGGAGCAACUAAGACAUUUAUAUCUCCCUUUCGACUGUGAAAGCAGUACUAAGUUGAACUUGGGUACUUUGAGAAAACUCCUAACACUUGUGAACUUCAACACCAAGAAUUGUUAUCUGAAGGAUCUUAUCAACAUGACAAAUCUUAGAGAGUUGGAGAUAAAUUUGCCCUUCAAUAUUGAAAAUUUCAAUGAGUCAGGCGAGAAUCCACCCAUAAUCGGUGGUAAAUAUCUUCAUUCCCUGUUUAUUAUUGCCAUUGGGGAAUCCGGCUCAGAAAUAGAUCCAAGACAUUUGGCCCACCUCCUUUCAAAUUGUACAAGUAUUUGCCAGUUGAGUAUAGCAGCAGAGAUAAGUAAGUUACCAGAGUAUCAAUACUUCUCUUCACAUCUCGCUUACAUACGGUUGAGUUGGUGCAAGUUU
rnacentral:lncRNA from 1 species